UGUGCUGGUGGAGGGUAUGGCACCACUGGUGGUGGUGGUGGUGGGCAUGGUGUUUCACUUGGAGGGCUUGGUGGCGUCACAGUAGGGGGUGUUGGUUCUGGCACAGGAAUAACAGGAGGGUAAACAAUGGGUGGCUUUGGCACAUAAGGUGGUCUAACUGGGACGACUGGUGGUUUAGGAACGUAAGGAGGUGUAACCGGGACAACCGGUGGUUUAGGGAUGUAGGGUGGUGUAACUGGGACGACUGGUGGUUUAGGGAUGUAAGGAGGAAUAACCGGAACAACAGGUGGUUUAGGGAUAUAGGGUGGUGUGACAACAGGAGGCUUAGGAAUGUAAGGUGGUGUGACAACUGGUGGAUUGGGGACAUAUGGUGGUUUUGGGACAUAGGGGGGUGGUUUGACAACUGGAGGUAGUGGAACAUAAGGAGGAUGUGGGUGAAGUGGUGGCUUAGGGUGAGGUUUUGGGACAUAGGGGGGGUGUGGAUGCACUGGUGGCUUAGGGUAGUGAGGAGGUUUUGGAACAUAGGGUGGAUUCACAUGUGGAGGUUUGGGAGAUGAGUGGGGUGGAGGACAGGGUUUGGGUGGUUUGUGAACUGGUGGUGGCUUCACUAUGGGGUGGUGUUUGGGGGGCUUAGGAGAGGGGUAAGGGCAAUAAGGACAAGCAAGAACAUUGAGCAAGGUGGUGAAGUUGAAGAGAAGGAACAAGAGGAGAUUGGGUAGGGCAAACUUUCCCAUGACUGGAGAUUGUGUAGGGAAAGAGAAAGAGGAAUAUAUGAUGUUGUUGCAAUGAGUUUCAAAGAAUGAGGCUCUUCUUAUACGAGGAUCCAACCCUCAAACCAAACCCUAGCUUUUAUUUUUUUUAUUUUUCUCUUUCUCGUGAGUGAUGUUGAUCACGGACAAGAAUUAUUAUGACAAUCAAUCAAUCUAAAUCUAAAUGGAACCACACUCUUAACAAUUGGAAUUAAAUUAUUAAUUUUUUAGAUGAAUCAUAGACUUUGAAGGACAGAAAAAUGCAUGAGAUAUAGGUGGGGUCCAGGGUGUGGCAGAGUGAGUUCCUUGGCUUGAUUCAUGCACAAAAGAGAUCAAACAAAGAAAAGAAAAAGGAAAAGUGGGCCAUGGUGUUAUGUCCAGAACUACGAUUUCAAUUUUUUGAUGGACAGGGGAAUCAAUAAAAAGCAGUGGUGAGCCAAGAACAUUUUUGACUUGUAGUGACAAGUGGAAGUGGGUUAUUCUGCCCGUGAUGAAAAAUCUAACUUAAUUCAUAAACAUCAAACUACUCUGUAAACAUACUUUAGAAUUAGUGGCUUAGUCCCUAACAUUCUUGUCUUCUAAAAACCAUGCUUCAUUUCGCUCCAAUAAGCUUAAUAUUCAUUUGUAAUUUAUAUUUAAAUUGUCCGUGUUUAGAAAAUGUUUCUUCUUAGGUCUUUAGUCUUAGGUGUGUUGUCGGUCCCCGAUGAGAUUGAGUGAUAUGUAUAAAAAAAUUUCCAAUAUUUAUAAGUAUGUUGGUCAAUUUUUUUCUGGAUUUUUAUCCAUUAUGGGUUUGGAUUAGCACGAUUUUUUUAUUUAUUUUCUGUAUUAGUCUAAUAUUUUUUAAGAUUUUCUAGUUAAUCUUUGUUUUAACUUAUCUUGAAGGUUACAAAGUGUAUUGUUCACCCAGUCUCAUAUAGUAUAAUUUAUAUUUAUUUUAAUAACCUUUUCAUAUUAAGAUCUGUUUGUAAAAACUAAACUUCAAACUAGACACACAUUAGUGUGUAUUUCCCUUUCAUUAAUUGAGUUCAAAGGAAUAUUAUGAGUUUAAAGGCAUUUUGGUAGGUGAAGUUUUUUUAAACUAAACAUGUAUUUGAAUCUGAGUGACUAUUGUUCAUCUGGAUCUUUUGGAUCUAGGUGAUUACUCCUCAUCAGGUUAGUCUCUGAAUGUUGUAGUGUUAAAAGAGAUUCUGAGAAUUUAGAGGCAGCUUUUAUGGGGGUGGGAUCGAAAGGGAGGAAGAUCGCUUGAGCUUCUUAGAAGAAGGUCUGGGAGUCUAGAGAGGCUGUCAGUUUGGGUAUUAUUGAUUUUAAAGUUUUCAAUUUGCUCUGUUAGGAAAAUGGAUUUGGCAUCUAGGGACGGAUGAGGGUGGCUUGGGGAAGGAUAUCCUUGAAUCCAAGUACGGAGGUUGGAGAAGACUGAGUGAUCAAAGGAAUAAUGUUAAAGAGUCUCUUUGGUGGAAGGACUUGAAGGAGGUUUGGGCGUUGGAGAGUUGGGGAAGGAGUUUUGAAGAUCGUUUCAAUUGGAAGAUAGACAAUGGGAAGAAAAUCAGUUUUUGGGAUGAUAACCAGGCGAGUUGUGGUGUUCUGAAAAGGGUUUUUUCCGAGGUUGAGUUCAUUGAGCAUGCAUUCUGAGGCUAAGUUAGUCAAGUUUGGGGUUUGGAUUGACAGUAUUUGGGAGUGGAAUUUAGCUUGAAGAAGGAACCUGUUUGAGUGGGAAAAGGUUUCGGAGAGUCAACUUUUGUUAAAGCUCCAAGGUUUAGGGGUGGAGCAGGAUGGAUGAUAGCUGGGUGUGGAAGGAUGGCGAGUUGUCUUCUUACUCGGUUAAUUCUGCGUAUGCUUUCUUAAGGGGUGAGUUAGAAGGGGGUAAUAAUUCCAUGUAUGUAAAGUUUUGGAAGUCUAAAGCUUUGUCAUCCGCCCAUAUUACUGCUUUGAGGGUGUUAGAAAAUAGGUGUGUUGUCGGUCUCCCGAUGAGAUUCAGUGGUAUGUGUAAAAAGUUCUCCAAUAUUUAAGUUAGUGUUAACUUUUCAAUAAUUGAGUAUGUUGGACAAAUUUUUUUCUAAAGAUGAUUUGGGUUUUCAUGCUUGUGAGUUUGGAUUAGCACGAUUUCUAUAAUUAAUUUUUGUAUUAGUCUAAUAAUUUGUAAGACUUUCUAGUUAAUCUUCCUCUUAACUUAUCUUUAAGGUGCCAAAGUGUAUUGUCCACGUAGUCUCAUGACUAUAUAGUAUAAUUUAUAUUUAUUUCAAUAACUUGUUCAUAUUCAACAUGUGCCUGUAAAAAUCAAUUUUUAAACUAAACACACAUUAGUGUGUACUUCCCUUUCCUUAAUUGAAUUCAAAGGAAUAUUGUGAGUUUAAAGGCAUUUUGGUAGGUGAAGUUUUUAGAAACUAAACAUAUGUUUGGAUUUGAGUGAUUACUGUUCAUGCGGAUGAAUAACGCGAAUUAUUUGUGUUUGUUUCUAUUAAUUGUCGUGGAUCUGGGGUGUGGAAAGGCAAAAAAAAUGUAUUUUCGAAUCCUCACGUGUGUGCCAUGAGUCAUGAAGAAAUAAACGUAAAUGCACUGAUUUUACUUUGGUACCCUUCUAUUUUCAAAAAUCCGUGUUUAAUCAUAGUGAGAUUCCUGAAACAUGCACAAUCAAGAUUUAUGAGCCAUGCACAAUCAAGAUUCCUACACUAUGCAACAAGAUUUCUGACCGCAAGGUUUGACUGCGCAGUGGUGUGGUUGAGGGUGUACUUACAUGUUUAUUACAAGCUCGGUGGUUUUUGAGUAAGGCUUGAUUUGUUUUUAGGAAUGGUGUGAGUUGAGCACAGUUUGUUUUUGUUGUAUUGGUGCUCGGUGGUGCGCGGUGGUGUUCGGUGCGGUGCUCAAUGGUGGGUAUCUGUGGUGGUUUGGUCUUCAUUCGCAUCUCAUUGAGAUAAGAAUUCAUGGUUAAAUUCAAAACACAAACCAGAUAAUCGGUUAUGACGAAGAAAAAUUGAUUCUCAACUUUUUUUAAUGGAGAAUUGAUGUUCAUGAAUCGAUUCUGAUAUAAUUUUGUAGAGAUAAUUGACAGGGUUCAUGACUGAAUUGUUGACCUGCAACAACAAAUUCAUGACUUUUGGGAGUCUUUUGAAUGAUACAUAUUUCCAUGUAUCAUUGAUAUAAUUUUCUAGAACAUUAUUAUUUAUUUCAUUUUUUUAUAUAUACAUUUCUAAUAUACGUUUCAUAUUUAUUAUGCCGGACUUUAACCAUAAAUUUUGUUUUAAUAUAUUAUAAUUUAUUGCAUUAAUAUUUAUUUGAUGAAUAGUUUUUUCUUUUAUACAAUUAUAGCUAAACACAAUUCCAAGAAAAAAAUCUUUUAAUUGCAAACAGCUAUAAAUUACAAAAAAAAAUAAUCCCCAAUUACAAUUUUUUCUAAAUAAAAUUUCUUACAAUCAUAAACAUGUUCUAAAAAUUUUACCAUUCAUAAUUUUUUCAAAGUUAACUCGAACAUAAUAUCGAAAAUAAUAUUUCAAUUACUAAUUAAAAACAAUUAUAAUUCACAAAUAAAUCAAUAAAUUAAUUUUUCAACAACUUUUAAAUACAAGAAUAAAAAUAAAUUUCUAAACUUAUAUUUUUAUUAACUUUAAAAAAUACAAUUUAUAUCAUACUCAUCAUAUUACUCAUUAACUUUUCGUUGAAUAUAAAUAUUUUAUUUAAAAUAAUCGUUCCAUCGUAAUCCUUAUUAACUAAUACUAGCGGAAACUCAACGCAACACGCCUGUGUAUCCGCAUUUUCCUCUUUUACUCAACUUUCAUGAUGAUAGAAAUUUAACAUACAUAAAGAAAUAAUUUUGGAUGAGUCGAAAAUGAAAAAUAAAAAAUAACAUGUAAAAGAAAAAUGAUGAAUUGAUUAAACAAUUCUUUUUUCUUCCUCUUCGGUUUGAGGUCUCUCUUCUUCUUUAAGUUUUUUUUCUCUUUUUCUAUUGGUAGUUUUGGAAUCGAAGAGUGUGAUGAUGUUCAAAUUAAAGUUAGGAUUGACUUGAUGAUAGAUACAAAAGAAUAAUGAUUUUACCAAAUAAUAUAAUUGCUUGAAAUUGAGUAAAGGAAAUGAUUGGAAAUGAAAGUUAUUUUAUUUGAUAUGUGAAAUUUGGUUUAGAAACAUGUGAGAGUAUGCUCUCUCUUUCUUCUUGUUGUUGCCUUAAAAUAAGAAUUAAAGAAAAGAACGGGAGAGUCAGUUUCGCUAUAAAAACUGUACAUUAAUAUUAAAUUAAAAAUAAUUUUAUUUUUUAAGUAAUGAAAUGACAAAAUAUUUCAUUGUACUAUAAAAAAUGAGAUAUAUUAAAUAAAGAUAAAAUUGGAAGAAAUUUAUGUACACCAAAAAACGAUUAUAAUGGGAAUUCUCUUUAUGUAUAGAUUUGUAUAGUGUUUAUGAAAUUUUAUAUUUAGAUGUACAUAUGAUUUUUUUAAUUAAUUUGACAUUUAAAAAAUAUUAUUUUUUAUAUUUAGUAGAGUUGUUUGUGGAAAUAUCUCAUAGAAUUUGAUAAACUAAAUUAACUAUAAAAAAUUCACAUAAAAAGUUCCAACGAAAAUUUUAAGUGCAUUUAGUUUAGUGAAAAACACUGGGGCGUGUUUCGAUAGAAUAAAUUACAAUUUAAUAUUAUAAUAUUAUUUAGGCAAUUGCAACUUUUGCUGAUAAGUACAUUUAAUAGUAUUUUUUUAAAAUAUAUAUUUUAAAAUCAAAAUGAUUAUUUAAGAAAAAAACUACCAAACAUAGAUUAUUGUACAUUACAUUUCCAAAACAGAACUUAUUUUAUAGACGUCAAUAAUAUAAAUUAAAUAUAAACAUAUUAAAUGAAGACAUUGAUAUUUUGUAAAUAAUUUUUAAAUUAUUAUAUAAUUAUUAAUUAAUAAAUUUUAAUAUUAAAUAUUUUAUAUUUUAAAUUAAUUUAAAAUAUAAAAUAUUAAUAGUUAAUUUUUUUUAACUAAUUUAGUUGCUAAUUAAAUUUAUUUUAUAAAUUUUCAUUAAUAAUAAAAAUCACUUUAAAUAUUAAUAAUUUUUAGUCUCUAAAAUAACAUUUAAUUUAAUUAAUAUAAUAAUUAAUUAUUUUUUAAAAUUUAAUUAUUAUUUAAUAAGUUUUUACAUUGUUUUCUCAAAACAUCUAAAAAAACUUAUUUAUAGAAGUCAAUAAUAUAAAUUAUAUAUAAAUAUAUUAAAUGAAUGUCAAAACUGGGCUUUUGGGCUUUUUGGGCCUCUGCUGGGCCUUUUUCCCUUUCCAGUUUUUCCUUUUAGUUUUUGCUGUUUGCACCCUUGUAUUUAAGUUUACUUUUAGGGUUUUCUGAAACUGGAAGUGAUAUUACUACUGAAUAAUAAUUCUGUUUAGUUCUCUCAUCUCCCAUGUUCGCUUUCUUCUUUUGCAAUUCUCUUCUUCACCAAAGAUUCAACAUACUCUAUUACUUUUGUAAAUAUUACAGAACCUUGCUGAUUUCUCUAAGAUGGUAUCAGAGCUCUUCACCGUGAAGAGCUCUGUUGCGCGCUCUGAAUUCGUCCCUUCACUCUAUCAAGAUUUGUUCUCUUUCGUUUUCUUUAUUUUACGUUUUUCUGUUUUUCGUUUUUGACAGUUUUUCCUUUUUCCGCAGUUUGUGAUUUCGUGCUUCAAUGGCUGCUGAAAAUCCUAAUCGGAGUGAAACUCCAAUUUCUAAUCAAAGCAAGAACGUUGCUCAAGGAGAAAAUCCUACCCACAGUUUCCUGUAUCUACAUCCCAGUGAGAAUCCCGCGACUCCUCUUGUGUCUCCGCUUCUUGAUUCAACCAAUUAUCAUUCUUGAAGCCGCUCAGUCAUCGCUGCAUUAAGCGCAAAGAACAAAGUGUGGUACCACUACCCGACCUCCUAAGACCGAUCCUUCUUUCUCAUCCUGGACGCGUUGCAACAACAUGGUGGCAUCCUGGCGUGUGCAUUCGGUCUCUGUUCAUAUGCGCCAGAGUAUCCUAUGGAUGGAUAAAGCACUAGACAUUUGGAAUGAUCUCAAGGCUCGUUUCUCACAAGGGGAUUUAUCUCGUAUCUCUGACCUUCAGAUGAAUGCCUCCUCUCUCAAUCAAGGUGAUCUUUCUGUUUUCGACUUUUUCACUAAACUUAGGAUAAUCUGGGAUGAAUUAGAUAAUUUUAGGCUUGAUCCUGUAUGUUCCUGCAAUGUACCUUCUAUUACUGCUCAAAGAAAAAGAGAGGAUCAGGCAAUGCAAUUUUUACGUGGCCUUAAUGAUCAAUAUAACAACAUAAAAGCUCAUGUCCUUCUCAUGGAACCUGUCCCUGAUAUUACCAAAAAAUUUUCUCUAGUUGUUCAACAAGAACGCCAGUUUAACAGUAAUGUUCUUGUUGCUAAUAUUAGAAAUGCUUCCCCUGUCACUCACACCAAUAACACUACCUGUUCGUUCUGUGGUAAACUGGGUCACACCGAAAAUGUUUGCUUUAAGAAAAAUGGUUUUCCUAACCAAGAUAACAAAGGACCAAAAUUUGGCUAUGGUAAAAGAUUUUGUACUUACUGCAAUAGAACUGGUCAUACUAUUGAUAUUUGCUACAAGAAACAUGGGUAUCCUCCUGGAUAUAAAUCCCAGUAUGGUAAGGCUCCUCAAUUAAACAACAUCACCACUGCCAUACAAGAAGAAAGUUCUGAAAAUCAAGAUCAGGAUAAACUGAAUAGUGGAGGAGAUUUUCGCAUCACUCAACAUCAAUAUAAGAUUCUCUCAGACCUUCUGAAAAAUGUCAGCAGUUCCAACAAUCAAGUGCAAGUGAACCAGGUUGGUUCCAUCUCUGCUAAUCAUCAGGAUCAGAUUUCAGCCAUCACAGGUAAUAUCCAUAAAUUCAAAAACUCCAUUUUUAAUGAAUACACAUGGAUACUAGAUUCUGGAGCCACAUACCAUGUUUGCUUUUCUUUGUCUAACUUUACAUCAUAUAAUCAUAUUAAACCGAUUACUAUUAAGCUUCCUAAUGGGAAUUAUGUUAUUGCUUCUUAUUCAGGCACGGUUUUCUUUAAUGAAAAAUUCAUUCUUAAAAAUGUUUUAUAUGUACCAGAUUUUACUUUUAAUCUUAUUUCCAUAUCCCAAUUGACUGCAUCUCUUAAAUGUGAACUUAUUUUUUCCCCUACUGAGUGUUUAAUACAGAACUCCAAGACCAAAGAAAAGAUUGGUACAGUUGAUAUUGUUUAUGGUCUAUAUGUUCUCAAUAAGAUUGAUGGCAGCAUUCUGAGUUGUACUGCAAGACAGAAUAAUAUUUGGCACCUCAGAUUGGGACAUCCUUCAGAAGAAAGGUUAAAAAUUCUGCAAAACUAUUAUCCUAACAUUCGCAUUGACAAGAAUUAUAUUUGUGAUGCAUGUCAUCAAGCAAAACAAAGAAAAAUUCCUUUCUUUCCUAGUAAUACUCAAACUGCUCAUGCUUUUGAAUUGCUGCAUAUUGAUAUUUGGGGCCCCUGUAUCAAUGCUUGGUUUUAAAUAUUUUCUUACCAUAGUUGAUGAUUUUACUAGAUAUACUUGGCUCUUUCCCAUGCAUAACAAAUCUGAAGUCAGGGCUAGUAUUAUUAGUUUUGUUGCAAUGCUGAAAAUCAGUUUUCUAUUAAAGUCAAAACCAUUCGCACCGAUAAUGGUAUUGAAUUUUCUAUGCAUGAUUACUUUGCCUCUAAAGGGAUUGUCCACCAAACCACUUGUGUUGAGACACCUGAGCAAAAUGGCAUUGUUGAAAGAAAGCACCAACACAUUUUAAAUGUAACACGGGCUCUCCUUUUUCAGUCUAAACUUCCUGCUAUUUUUUGGUGCUUUGCCGUACAACAUGAUGUUUUCCUCAUUAAUUGUAUGCCUACUCCGCUGCUUAAUAAUGCCACUCCCUAUGAAAAACUGCAUAAAAAGCUAUGUGAUAUCUCUUCCAUUCGUGUUUUUGGAUGUUUGUGUUAUUCUUCAACUAUCCUUGCUCAUAGAAAAAAACUGGACAGCCGCGCUGUUCCAGGUGUUUUCCUUGGUUUUAAGUCAAACACAAAAGGUUUUCUGUUUUUAAAUCUUAAUAACCAUAAAAUNNNNNNNNNNNNNNNNNNNNNNNNNNNNNNNNNNNNNNNNNNNNNNNNNNNNNNNNNNNNNNNNNNNNNNNNNNNNNNNNNNNNNNNNNNNNNNNNNNNNNNNNNNNNNNNNNNNNNNNNNNNNNNNNNNNNNNNNNNNNNNNNNNNNNNNNNNNNNNNNNNNNNNNNNNNNNNNNNNNNNNNNNNNNNNNNNNNNNNNNNNNNNNNNNNNNNNNNNNNNNNNNNNNNNNNNNNNNNNNNNNNNNNNNNNNNNNNNNNNNNNNNNNNNNNNNNNNNNNNNNNNNNNNNNNNNNNNNNNNNNNNNNNNNNNNNNNNNNNNNNNNNNNNNNNNNNNNNNNNNNNNNNNNNNNNNNNNNNNNNNNNNNNNNNNNNNNNNNNNNNNNNNNNNNNNNNNNNNNNNNNNNNNNNNNNNNNNNNNNNNNNNNNNNNNNNNNNNNNNNNNNNNNNNNNNNNNNNNNNNNNNNNNNNNNNNNNNNNNNNNNNNNNNACAUGGUCCUUAACCAGCCUUCCUUCUGGAAAAACAGCAAUUGGGUGUAAAUGGGUUUAUAAAGUCAAGCAUCAUGCAGAUGGCUCUAUUGAACGCUACAAAGCCCGCUUAGUAGCAAAAGGGUACAACCAAAUUGAAGGACUGGACUUCUUAGAUACCUUUGCUCCUGUAGCAAAGCUGACCACUCUACGACUUCUCCUAGCUCUAGCAGCAGCUCAAAAUUGGGCACUCAAGCAACUAGAUGUAAACAACGCCUUCCUACAUGGAGAUCUAGAUGAAGAAGUUUACAUGCAAUUACCUCCAGGUUUUCCAACCCCUUCUCCCAAUCUUGUUUGUCGCCUCAAGAAGUCUCUUUACGGGCUCAAACAAGCAGGUAGGCAAUGGUAUGCUAAACUCUCAAGCUUUCUACUUUCACAUAAUUAUAAAAUUUCCACUGCUGACCACUCUUUAUUUCUGAAACAUGAUGGCAAACACACCACGGCACUGCUGGUCUAUGUGGAUGACAUCAUUCUCACUGGAACUAAUCCUAAGGAGAUUUCUACCAUCACUGGUUUGUUACACAAUUUUUUUUCAUAUUAAAAAUCUUGGUGAUUUGACUUAUUUUCUUGGUAUUGAAGUGGCUCGUAAUACCACUGGAAUUCACAUAAGCCAAAGAAAGUAUAUUUUGGAUCUGCUUAAAGAUGCUGGAAUGCUGGUGAUGGCAUUUCAUGUGUUCUUCUUGAAUCAAAGUAGUAAAAGUGAUGCGGAAGCGAUGGGUGAGUGAAACAAAGCCCUCCUAGGAGUUGUGAUGGCUUUGAAGGUGCAUGAUGAGUAUGGGUUAGAGAGGUUCGGCCAGCUCUAUGGAGAAAGGUGAAAGGAGUGAAGUUUAUAGCCUAGAUUUCUAGGAGAAGUAAAGCUAGUGCACAAAAUGGGCAGCAUAACAAUACUCAAUUAAACUUGUCAAAUACAAUGAGAUAGCCUCCCUAUUUAUAGGCUAUGUGGACGUAAAUGUUAAGCCACAUUUCUAAAGAAAAUAAAACCAAAAUUAAAUCUAAAUUCUAAGGUGCAAUGACCGGCCAUACACAACCCUAGAUUCUAGAAGGUUUCCAUAAAAAAUGCUUCCUACACUAUCCUAUCUACUAAGUACCCCCAAUGGGCCUUUAUGCAAACAUAUACAAAGCCUUCUCUCUUCCAUCCGUGGCCUCAUUUGCUUGUGUUUGAAUAUGUUUGGCCAUUGAUCUUGUAAGGGGUCCUAGACGGUCUAGCUCCAUGGAUAGCCUCCCUCCUUCACGGUCUAGACGCUCACCUUCACGUCCUAGACGCUUACUCUCACGUCCUAGACGCUCUCCUUGGUCUUGGUCUUGGUCUAGACGCUCUCCUUGGCUUGUGCCUUGGCUUCCUUGGGUAGGUGUGCUUGGCCCUCCUCCAUCAUCCCCUCCCCCUUGGAAAGGAUUUGUCCUCAAAUCCAGCUCGCCAUCGUCAUUGGUACCUACAUAUGGAGAAAGAUCAAUUACAUUAAAAGUGUCAUGUACUCCAUAUUCAAGAGGUAGGUCCAAUUUAUAAGCAUUGUUGUUGACUCGCUUGAGAACUUGGAAAGGUCCAUCACCUCGGGGACUUAGUUUGGACUUCCUUUGAGUUGGAAAUCUAUCUUUGCGAAGGUGAAGCCAAACUAAGUCUCCUUCCUCAAAAAUUAUUUCUCUCUUCCCUUUGUUGUUGUAUUUUGUGUACUUCUCAUUUUGUUGGUGUAUUUGAAUUUUAAUCUUCUCAUGCAUUUUCUUGAUAAAAUCAGCUUUGAGUACUCCUUCCUUAUGCACAAAAUCUUGUGGAUUAGGAAGGGGUAUCAAAUCCAUGGGCGUGAGAGGGUUAAAACCAUAUACUACCUCAAAAGGAGAAGCAUUAGUAGUCUUGUGAACUACUCUAUUGUAAGCAAAUUCAAUGUGGGGAAGGUACUCAUCCCAAGAUUUGUGGCUUCCCUUCAUGAUAGCCCUAAGCAUAGUUCCAAGAGAUCUAUUGACUACUUCGGUUUGACCAUCCGUUUGAGGAUGACAAGAAGUUGAAAAUUGUAGUCUUGUUCCAAGUUUACCCCAAAGAGUUUUCCAAAAGUGGCUUAUAAACUUGGGAUCUCGAUCGGACACUAUACUUCUAGGGAGACCAUGGAGUCUCACCACUUCUCUAAAGAAGAGUUUAGAAAUAUUUUGAGCAUCAUCCACUUUGUGGCAUGGAAUAAAGUGGGACAUUUUGCUAAAACGGUCCACUACCACAAAGAUAGAGUCAUGGCCUCUUGCAGUCCUAGGAAGCCCUAAAAUGAAAUCCAUGCUAAUGUCUUCCCAAGGAGCAUUUGCAAUCGGCAAAGGAGUGUAGAGUCCAUGCGGCAUUGUUCUAGAUUUUGCUUUUAAACAUGAGAUACAUCUAGAACAAUGUCGUUGAACAUCUUUCCUCAUGUGUGGCCAACAAAAUUUUGCUUUUAAAAGAUCUAGAGUUUUAUCAACUCCAAAAUGGCCCAUGAGUCCCCCUUCAUGUGAUUCUUUGACAAGGAGUUUUCUAUGUGUUCCUUGGGGAAUGCAAAGUUUUCCUUCUUUAAAAAGAUAUCCCUCGGACACAUAGUAACCUCCUUGCGCUCUAUGUAGACAUUGGGCAUAGAUGGAUGAGAGUUCUUGAUCUUCUUGGUAAAGCUCUCUUAUGUGGUCAAAUCCAAGAAUUUGGGCACCUAGUUUUGAAAAGAGAGUGUGCCGUCUUGAAAGAGCAUCGACCACUAUAUUGGUGCUUCCUUUCUUGUAUUUGAUUACAUAAGGAAAUUGUUCAAGAAAUUCCAUCCAUUUAGCAUGUCUCUUGUUGAGCUUGUGUUGGGCCCUUUAAUAUUUUAAAGACUCGUGAUCACUAUGGAUAACAAAUUCUUUGGACACAAGGUAGUGUUCCCAAGUCUUUAAGGCUCGCACAAGAGCAUAGAGCUCUUUGUCAUAGGUGGGGUAAUUGAGGGUGGGACCAUGGAGUUUUUNNNNNNNNNNNNNNNNNNNNNNNNNNNNNNNNNNNNNNNNNNNNNNNNNNNNNNNNNNNNNNNNNNNNNNNNNNNNNNNNNNNNNNNNNNNNNNNNNNNNNNNNNNNNNNNNNNNNNNNNNNNNNNNNNNNNNNNNNNNNNNNNNNNNNNNNNNNNNNNNNNNNNNNNNNNNNNNNNNNNNNNNNNNNNNNNNNNNNNNNNNNNNNNNNNNNNNNNNNNNNNNNNNNNNNNNNNNNNNNNNNNNNNNNNNNNNNNNNNNNNNNNNNNNNNNNNNNNNNNNNNNNNNNNNNNNNNNNNNNNNNNNNNNNNNNNNNNNNNNNNNNNNNNNNNNNNNNNNNNNNNNNNNNNNNNNNNNNNNNNNNNNNNNNNNNNNNNNNNNNNNNNNNNNNNNNNNNNNNNNNNNNNNNNNNNNNNNNNNNNNNNNNNNNNNNNNNNNNNNNNNNNNNNNNNNNNNNNNNNNNNNNNNNNNNNNNNNNNNNNNNNNNNNNNNNNNNNNNNNNNNNNNNNNNNNNNNNACUACUACAUAUUUACCUAUACAAUCUCUCAAGGUGUGAUUCAUAAGCCUCAUGAAUGUGCUUGGAGCAUUAGUAAGCCCAAAGGGCAUCACCAACCACUCGUAUAAUCCAAAUUUGGUCUUAAAAGCGGUUUUCCACUCAUCACCCUCCUUGAUUCGAAUUUGGUGAUAUCCACUUUUAAGGUCAAUCUUGGAGAAUAGAGUUGACCCAUGCAAUUCAUCAAGCAUAUCGUCAAGCCUCGGAAUUGGAUGCCUAUACUUGAUGGUGAUGUUGUUGAUUGCUCUACAAUCACAACACAUACGCCAUUUUCCAUCUUUUUUUGGCACCAACAAGACAGGUACAGCACAAGGGCUUAGGCUCUUUUGAACCCAACCCUUCUCCAACAAGUCUUGAACUUGUGAUUCUAUCUCCUUUGUUUCCUCGGGGUUGGUUCUAUAAGCAGGCCUAUUUGGUAGGCUUGCCCCCGGUAUAAAGUCAAUUUGAUGUUCUAUCCCCCUAAGAGGAGGAAGCCCAAUGGGUCCUUCUUGGGAGAAUAGAUCUUCAAAUUCACUUAAAAGGUUUUCUACUUGAGGAGGUAAAACCAUGAGUUCACUACUUGUGGCAGUGCAUGUAAGUGCUCCUUUACAAAAGAUAAGGCUUGGUUGUUCAACAAGAAGCAAGUUUUCAAAAACAUUUUCAAGAGGUUUUUCUUGUUGACCAACCUUGUGGGAAGGAACACUCUUCUCCCACGCCUUUCUAUCCCUAAGGAUUUUCUCUUUUUCUAGCUCUUUUUUUUUGUUUUCCUCAUCCCUCUUUUGUUUCAUUUGUAUUUGGUCUUUCACCACUUGAGAAUGUGGUAAAGGACUAAGUACAAACUUCUUAUAUUUAUGGGUGAAGGAAAUCUCGUUAGUGAGACCAUCAUGCAAGGUUUUCUUAUCAAAUUGCCAUGGCCUCCCUAAUAAGAUAUGGCAAGCUUCCAUAGGCACUACAUCACAUAAAACUUUGUCUUUGUAGUUCCCUAUGGAAAACUUGAUUUCCACUUGCUUGUCUACAUGUAGUUCCCCAUUUUCAUUAAGCCAUUGAAGUUUGUAAGGUUUUGGGUGAGGAACUACUUGUAGCUUAAGCUUUUCAACCAUCCUAGCACUACAACAAUUACAACUAGAUCCACUAUCCACAAUGAGGGAACAUAUAUUUUCUAAAACAUUGCAUCUUGUAUGAAAGAUGUUCUCCCUUUGUGUUUCCAUGGAUGUGCUAGGGUGAUUGUUGAGGGUUCUCCUAAUCAUAAGCAAUUCUCCCUCUAGUGGAGCUACCCUCUCAUCCUCUCCCCCUUCCUCUUUCUCACUAGGCUCAUCCUCGCCACUAGUGUACUCGUCUACACCUUUUAAAAACAAAGUCCUUUGGUUUGGACAUUGUGCUUGCACAUGCCCCCUACCAUAGCACUUAAAACACUUGACAUCUCUAGCUCGGAUGGGUGGGGUUGAGGUUUCUUUGGUGAAGGGUUUGGUAGGCUCUUUUGGUUUUUCCUUGGAUGUACUACCCUCCCUUCUAAACUCUUUCUUGGGAUAAAAGCUAGAAUAGGGGCUCACCUUUUGACUUGAGGUUUUGCGCAAGUUUUGUUGCUCAACUUUAAUGCAAAGCUGAACCAAAUCAUUCNNNNNNNNNNNNNNNNNNNNNNNNNNNNNNNNNNNNNNNNNNNNNNNNNNNNNNNNNNNNNNNNNNNNNNNNNNNNNNNNNNNNNNNNNNNNNNNNNNNNNNNNNNNNNNNNNNNNNNNNNNNNNNNNNNNNNNNNNNNNNNNNNNNNNNNNNNNNNNNNNNNNNNNNNNNNNNNNNNNNNNNNNNNNNNNNNNNNNNNNNNNNNNNNNNNNNNNNNNNNNNNNNNNNNNNNNNNNNNNNNNNNNNNNNNNNNNNNNNNNNNNNNNNNNNNNNNNNNNNNNNNNNNNNNNNNNNNNNNNNNNNNNNNNNNNNNNNNNNNNNNNNNNNNNNNNNNNNNNNNNNNNNNNNNNNNNNNNNNNNNNNNNNNNNNNNNNNNNNNNNNNNNNNNNNNNNNNNNNNNNNNNNNNNNNNACUUCUACAUUUUCCUUUCCAUGAAAAUGAGGUAGGUCUACUCUUGUUUCCCUUGGCACCUCUUGUUCCCUUUGCCUAGUUCUUCUAGGGGGUGGUUGGUAAUAAUCAUUGAUUCUACGGCUUCCCUCCCCUAGAGACUCAAUACUUUGAGAAUGGGAUGCAUGAGUUUUUUUUGAUUUUUGUGACUUCUCUUCUUGAGCUUUAGCCAACUCAUUGAUUUUGUUCUCAUUCUCCAAUUGUCUAAAAGAGAUCAAUUGUACCGCUUGGGAUACUUCUUUUAAAAGAGUUUUCAAAGAUUUAACUUCACUUUCUAUAGACUUUGGAGAGUGAGAAGAAGAAGACAUGGCUAAAACUUUGUGUAUAUAGGUGUUUUACUUGGAGAAAGUUUAGGAAAGUUAGAGAAGGAAGUUUUCCAGGUAAGGGAGGUGAGUCACAAAGGACUACUUAAGUACCAAGCCUUUUCCUUGCCAAAAACUUUCCUCCAAUGACUUCACACAAAAUUUUCUCUUGGUAGAACACUUAGAACACAAGAAGUUGAGAAAUCAAAAAGCAAGAAAACUAUAUAAGCUAGAUAUGCAGCAAAGCUAGUCGGUAUAGCACAAAAUUAAACAAAACUAAGCAUGCAAAACGUUUCUACCGAAACAAAGAAAAACAAGUUCAAACAAGCAACAAAUUGCUAAGCAAAAAUUACUAUGCUAUUCGGCCCUAGGUGAGGCUUCUUGGACACUUUGAGCCCUUGAAGACACACUCACCGUCUAAAACGUAAUUUAAAAGAGGUAAUUAACAAUAAUCCAAGUUGUAAAGGAGAUAAGAAAACCCCCUUUGUUGUUCCUCUUUUUGGCUAGUGCACUUUCUUUGUUGUCUUGAUUGUUGAUCUUCUAGGUGUUUGUAGUGUUUGUUUCAAGAAAGCUUGUUUCGCCUUAGCUUUGACUCCUCCUUAGAAAGUUGGCUUUAAUUCUCCAAUUUCCAGCACCUAUUCACAAGGGCUUAACCUUAAACCAAGUCAAUUUCCAUGCACAUAAGCACCAAGAGAGAAUUAAAUUCCAGCACCCAAAAUGAGAGGUCAAGAAACAAAAGCAAGAAACAAAUUUAAUUGAAAGAAAACAGUACCACCAAAAGGAUUUAUAAUAUGACAACUUAGAAAGAGAUUCAAGAAAUUAAAGCAAACAAUUAAAGGUACUCAAUAAAAGUUGGCACACAAAAGGAAUUCCUAAAGAAAAGCACUAGAUUAGAUGACCAAAUAAAAAAAAACAGCACCACUGGAAAAUGUUGUGGGCCAGAAAACGUGUUUGUUCCCCGAUUUAUGCUGAGCUGUAUUUGUAAGAUUUGUUUCUGAAAUUUGGAUACAAGAAAAUUCAGGAUCUUAUCUAAAUUUUGGCUUUGGAAUCACCUAAAACGCAUGCACCAUUUUUUUUUAAUAAUUUUUGCAAAUUUGGUGUGCAGUUAGGCCAGCUGGAGCGCUCAAGAUUUGCACUCUGAUUUUGUGAGAUUUAUCAUUUUUUUUCUGUUGCUUCUUUUGACCUCAUUCUUUUUUUGUCUUUUCUAUAACACCUUAAACUUGCAUUUUCCAGAAAUUCAGAAUUUUCCUAUGGGUAGAAAAUAUGUUUUAAACAAAACAGCCCAGAACAGAGAGGUGAUACAGGGGAAAUCUGGAAAACUGGAAGAAAACAGCAAGAUAACCAAAAUUAACACAAUGGAAAUGUGAGAAAGGAAAUUGUGUAUGAACUAAGACACAAUUAUGAACUCAAACUAAAAAUAAAAAGCACCAAAGGAUCAAAAUAACAGCAGAUUAAAGCAAUAUAAAGAGACCCAAAACAAGAAACAAUCAAGCCAAAAAAUAGGACUACUAAGAAUUGAUGACAAUAUGGAUGAACAUGACUUGACAAAACAUGUAUAGAUUCAGAAAAUUAAAGACUCAAAGCAUAAUAUGAAGCAAAAUAAUGAAAGCAAUAAAGACUCAAAGCCUAAAACAAAAUAGCANNNNNNNNNNNNNNNNNNNNNNNNNNNNNNNNNNNNNNNNNNNNNNNNNNNNNNNNNNNNNNNNNNNNNNNNNNNNNNNNNNNNNNNNNNNNNNNNNNNNCUAUCACAAAUUGCACAAGAACUUGUUCAAGAUCAAAUGAACAAGAGUGCUUCGGUUGGAUCUUCCACAAAGCACACCAAGAACAAUUUAAAAUAUAAAAACAGCAAGACAAGUAAGGAAUUGAAAUGACAAAGAUGAAAUAAAGAAGAACUGAAAUUAAAAGACCAAGCUACUCAUCUUGAAGAACCAAAAGCUCAUGAUACCAAAUGAUGGCAUUUCAUGUGUUCUUCUUGAAUCAAAGUAGUAAAAGUGAUGCGGAAGCGAUGGGUGAGUGAAACAAAUCCCUCCUAGGAGUUGUGAUGGCUUUGAAGGUGCAUGAUGAGUAUGGGUUAGAGAGGUUCGGCCAGCUCUAUGGAGAAAGGUGAAAGGAGUGAAGUUUAUAGCCUAGAUUUCUAGGAGAAGUAAAGCUAGUGCACAAAAUGGGCAGCAUAACAAUACUCAAUUAAACUUGUCAAAUACAAUGAGAUAGCCUCCCUAUUUAUAGGCUAUGUGGACGUAAAUGUUAAGCCACAUUUCUAAAGAAAAUAAAACCAAAAUUAAAUCUAAAUUCUAAGGUGCAAUGACCGGCCAUACACAACCCUAGAUUCUAGAAGGUUUCCAUCAAAAAUGCUUCCUACACUAUCCUAUCUACUAAGUACCCCCAAUGGGCCUUUAUGCAAACAUAUACAAAGCCUUCUCUCUUCCAUCCGUGGCCUCAUUUGCUUGUGUUUGAAUAUGUUUGGCCAUUGAUCUUGUAAGGGGUCCUAGACGGUCUAGCUCCAUGGAUAGCCUCCCUCCUUCACGGUCUAGACGCUCACCUUCACGUCCUAGACGCUUACUCUCACGUCCUAGACGCUCUCCUUGGUCUUGGUCUUGGUCUAGACGCUCUCCUUGGCUUGUGCCUUGGCUUCCUUGGGUAGGUGUGCUUGGCCCUCCUCCAUCAGCUGGGAUGUGCUCCUGCUCCUACACCAAUGCUCCACAAUAAUAAACUCUCAGCCACAAAAGGCAUACCCCUUGGAGAUGCAGAAUCCACUGCUUACAGACGAAUGAUAGGACGUCUCAUUUAUCUUACCAACACCCGGUCAGACAUCUCCUUCUCAGUAAAUCACCUCAGUCAAUUCGUCUCACACCCAACUAAUGAGCAUCACCAGGCAGCAAUGCGCAUUCUUCGCUAUCUUAAAAGAACUCCGGGCACAGGUAUAUUCUUACACAAUAAAUCUCCCAUUCAAUUAAAGACAUAUAGUGAUUCUGAUUGGGCUACAUGCCCCGAAACUCGCAAAUCCAUAACUGGUUUUUCUGUAUAUUUGGGGGAGUCUCUUAUAUCUUGGAAGUCCAAGAAGCAACAAACUAUAUCCAGGAGUUCAUCAGAGGCAGAAUACCGUGCCCUUGCUGCAACCACUUGUGAGAUUCAAUGGAUAACAUACCUGCUGCAUGAUUUACACAUUCAACACCAGCAACCAGCCCUUCUCUAUUGCGAUAACCAAGCUGUUAUCCAGAUUGCGCACAAUCAAGUCUUCCACGAACGAACCAAACACAUAGAGAUCGACUGCCAUGUUGUCAGGGAGAAACUCAACACAGGCCUUCUCAAACUUCUCCCUAUUCCUUCCUCAUUGCAAGCUGCAGACUUCUUCACCAAGCCUCUACCUACUGCUCAAUUCAACAUUCUGUUUUCCAAGCUAGGAAUGAAAGAUAUCUAUUCCUAGCUUGAGGGGGCUGUCAAAACUGGGCUUUUUGGGCCUCUGCUGGGCCUUUUUCCCUUUCCAGUUUUUCCUUUUAGUUUCUGCUGUUUGCACCCUUGUAUUUAAGUUUACUUUUAUGGUUUUCUGAAACUGGAAGUGAUAUUACUACUGAAUAAUAAUUAUGUUUAGUUCUCUCAUCUCCCAUCUCCCAUGUUUGCUUUCGUCUCUUGCAAUUCUCUUCUUCACCAAAGAUUCAACAUACUCUAUUACUUUUGUAAAUAUUACAGAACCUUGCUGAUUUCUCUAAGAAUGAAGACAUUGAUAUUUAAUAAUUUAGCAUAAAAGCCAGAUACUAUUUUAAAAUAGCUGCAACUAUUACGUCUAGAACUUUCACUGUGUUGUGCUAUUUAAAAAGAAAUACAUUGUGUCAUAUCAAAUACUUCUUUCAAGGAAGAAAACAAAGAUUAUGAAUUUAACAAGCGGAUAAAUUCAAUGUGAUAUUAUUGUAAAUUAUAAAUUGUAAGAUUAUUGUUUUUAAUAAAUAACGUACAAGUUUAACUCAUUAGCAAUCUUGGUAUGAGUUUGAAAGCUGAGUCAUAUAUACGAAACAAAACAUAUAAACUCUUUAUUUUCAGGCUUUAGAUUAAAUGUGGUGUUAUGUAUGAAUUGGUUCUAUAUUUAUUAAAGUUGAAUUUUUUUAGUAAAUCUUUCUUUAGAUUUAAUAUAAUAGAAUUGAUGAUUUAUUUUAGUAACAACCUUUGACCAAUAUAAUAUAAUGGAUAAGAAAAUUUCUAGGUAUUGAAAAGGUAAAAAAUAACAUACUCAAAUUAAAUAUUAUUUUAAUUAGUUAAAUAUUAUUUUAAUUAGUGUUCAUGAAGCUUCUCUUCUUUUUUCUAUGUGUACAACAUUGACACAUAAACAAAUAAUACACCACCUUAAGCAAAGAAUAGGAAACAAAUACACCACCUUAAGCAAAGAAUAGGAAACAAAUACACCACCAUCUUGUAUGUGAAAAAAAAUACAGAAACAAUUUAUCCUAGUUUGCAUACAACAGUGAAAACAAAAUCCUAUGAUGUUGAUGUAAUGUUAUUAUCACUAUUUUUUAUUUGGAUUAACCUAUUUUGUAUCACUCCAAUUCUAGUAGGACGUUCGAGGCUCCCAGAAGUUUAAACUAAUUCAUUGUUUUCACUUAAUGAUUUUUCUUUAUACAUUUUUUUAGCAGAACUAAAGACCAAAUUGACUUCUUGUAAAAAAAUAUAUCAGUCAAGGUAGAUCCAACUAUAUACACUGUCAAGACGGUCAAACAUGACUAUCGAGUCACUUGUUUAUCACUCGAAAGAGAUUCAAAACAAUUUUUCUUUCAAUUUUUCAAGGUCAAGUAUUGAGAAGCAUAUUUAGAAGUAACCUAUUUGACAACAACAAAUUUAAGACUUGUUGCAUUAGUUGCAUAUUUGAGAUGACAUAAUCCUUUUAAAAGACCAGAAUUUUUAGGAGCCAAUGAGUCAAUUUUUUUUUUCGGAAAAUCAACCAAUUCAUGGACAUUCUCCAAAAAUGGCAUAUCAACAAAAAUAUCAUCAUGAGAUCCUAAACCAACCUUUGUAUCAACACCUGCAACAAUAGAUACAUUAUCAACAACAAAUAAUUCUUCGGCAGAUUUCUUAAACUUUUGACCAAGAGAUGUAACCUCCACUUUGCAAACGAUGAUUAAACAUUAAAAUCAAAACCAUCAGUUUUAUUUUCAGCAAGCAUGAAUUUGAAUGACCAAGAAUAAUUACUUUUAAUUCUAGUUUUAAAUAUCAUUUAUAGCAUAACUCUAAUUUUAAAUGUCAUUUAUAGCAUAAAAAUUACCAGGAAACAAAUGUGAAUUUGAGAAGAAGUCUAUUGUGAGACUAUUUAGAGUCAUUGUACUCUCCAUUUGAAAAUACAGUAAAAUAAAAAAUAAAAAUAUAUUCUCUGUUCACAAAUUGGCAUCAGAGUUAUGACCGUGUAACCAAUAAUUUGUCACUACCCCAAUUAACAAAGACAACAAACUAUGACAAUUGGAACAUUCAAAUGAAAGCCAUUAUUGGAUCUUAAGAUGCUUGGGAGGUGGUUCAAGAAGGUUUCAAAGAACCAUAAAAUAUCACGGGAUCCUCAGCGGCCUAAAAAAAUGUUGAAAUAGACACGAUCGAAAGAUAAGACAACUUUGUACAUGUUGUAUCGAGUUGUUGGUGAUUCAACUUUCGAGAAGAUUGUUAAUGCAUCAACUUCAAAGAAAGUGUGAGACAUUGGAAAAGGUGUUCAAAGGUGUCGAUCGAGUUAAACAAAAUGCGUCUUCAAACUUUAUGAGGUGGGUUUGGAAGAUGUAUCUAAUUACAUUACUUUUGUACAAAUGGUAGCCAGUCAAUUUAAACGCAAUAGAGAAACUCUCACGGAUGCAAGGGUUAUGGAGAAAAUUAUUUUAAAAUGUGCAACUAGGAGUCAAUAAAUUUGGAAGAAAUGAUCGUUGAUGAUCUCGCGAGUUCUCUCUUGAAGCACAAUACCAACGAAAGAAGAAAAAAUAAGAAGUCUUGGAGGAAUCCUUACAAACAAAGAUGACCAUCAAGGAAGACAAGGUGAUGUAUGUGAAAUAUAACCGAUGAAGAGGAGGUGGAUGUGAAGGUUACGAUUUUGGCCGCAAUGGAGGUCGUGGUCGUGGAAACAACAAUGAAAAGAAAGGAAAAAAUGAACCAACAAAAUUGACGUGGAUAAGGAUUGUCGUGGAAUAGGUGGUCAUUCAAAUCGUCCAAAUGUUGAAUGUUAUAAAUGCAUAAAAUAUGGACACUAUGCAAAGGAUUGCUAUACCGAGAAGAAAAAUGGAAGAAAAUAUGUCAAUUUAGUCGAGGAAGAUGAGACAAAAUAUGAAGGGAUUCUCAUGAUGGAAAAUGAAGGCAUCACUCUAGAUAUUAGUGAUAUGGUGUGGUAUUUGGACACUGUUAAUCAUAUGUGCAGACACAAACACGUUACAAGAGAUCAAAGAUGGGCAUGUGUCUUUUGGAGACUCAACAAAGGUUCCAGUCAAAGAGUGGGGAAUGUUUUUCCCAAAAGGACGAAAAAGAAGGUACAAUGUAGGAUGUUUAUUAUGUACCUGACUUGAAAAGUAAUAUUCUUAGUAUGUGACAAUUCUUGAAGAAAGUUUGUUCAACUAUCAUGAAAGAACAAAUGUUUCACUUAAAGGAAAAAAAUAGACAAGUGAUCGCACACGUGGAGAUGGCAGAGAAUUAGAUGUUCAAACUCAACUUAAAGAAUAUACAAGAGAGGUGUUUGCAAAAUAACAUGGAGGACAAAGCAUGAUUAUUGCCUUUACAAUUUAGACACUUACAUUACGACAGGCUAAAAGAGUUAGCAAACAACUUCAAUAAGGGUAUCAAGAUCAAUAACGACUCUCUCAACUUCCACGACUCCUACGUUACAAACAAGUACAUAAUAUAUAUAUAUAUAUAUAUAUAUAUAUAUAAUAUUUUUUACCUCUACUGCAUGAUUUUGUUUCUUUGUGAUACCAACCACUUUCUUAUGAGGGACAUUAUUAGUUUUUUUGUUCUAAACAUCCACAAUUUUAUAUUGUACAUCACAAGUUUGGCAAAACAGUAAGCAGUGUUAUUGAGAUUAUCAGGAAGUCAUCUACAUCAAGAAAUAUCAUGUCCUAUCAUUUUGCAUGAAGAAAAAUUGUGACAACUUCUCAAUUCAACAUCUAAUAAAAGCAAAAUUAGGUCUUUCCACCAAAAUUAGAUUAGAUAAAGCAUAUGGUAUAUCAAUAUCAACCAACACUCUAAAAAAAAGUCUCUAAAUUUAUUCAUGGUGCAAUCACCGAGAAAAAAAAAGUAUCAUUUCCUAUUAAGAUAAUGAUUAAUAUAGAUAAAAAAUUAUAAUUUAUUUUAUAACUAAAAUAAUAAUAUGAUGAAAUAUAAUUUUUUUUUAAUAAGAAUGUAUUUUUCUCUACUCAAUAAAAAAUUGGUUAUUGCUAUUUUAUACAAAUAAAAAUUAGUUAUUUUGUUACACAUAAAUAUCCCAUAACUGCAUUUUGUAUUUAUGGAUAUUGAAUAACUUAAUAAAAGAUAAAGCUAGAUAAACUUAUACACUGAGAAUUGAGAAGCAUAUACUAUACCUCAUACACUCAUUUCAAUUAAUAUUUUCUUAUAUUCUUAUAUACUUCUUUAUACCGUCCUUCUAAAUCGAUCUUCUCAUAUAUAUUUUUAUACAAUCUUUUUUAAAUGCUUUCUCGGGAUUAAGUUAAAAGAAAAAAUAUAAAAAAUUAAAACAAAUGAAGAAAAUAAAAUUGUUUAGAUUAAGGUAAUAUAUAUAUAUAUAUAUAUAUAACACUAAUAAUUGAUAUGAGAAAAUAUUUUUUUUGUAAAUUUAUAUAUUUAAAAAAUAAAUUAAAAUGAAAAAUAAUUUUAAAUAAAAAUAAUUAUUUUUAUAAAAUUUGAAAGAAAAAAAGUUAUAUUUUAAAACAAUAAAUUAAUUUAUAAACAAAAAAAUUAAAAUGUAUUUAUUUUUUAAUUAUUUAUUUUAUUAAAAUAAAUAUAAAAUAAUUAGAUUAAAUUAUUAAAAAUAAUUAUUCAAUUAACUAUUUUAUAAAUAUUAAUAAAAUAUUUACAUCAGAAUUUUAGAUAUGUAAUCGAUUAUAUAUUUAAUGUUAACUUUCUGUCCAAAUCUUUUUACCGGAAAGUUUAACAUGUAAAACAUACCUAUUUUUUAUUUUAUUUUUAUGAUUCAGUUUCUUAUUUUUCAAAUUUUCUUUGUAUUUUGUUGUUUCUCAUUUGUUAGCGCAUUGUUUUUACCUUGAAAUAAAUAGAGUGUAAGUAAAGUUUUACAAGUAGUUUUUUUUUUUGUUUACACCAUUUGUAAGUUGAGAUGAUAUCAUAGUAAAAGAUUUUAACAUCUCAUUUUCUUAAUAUAAUCUAUAAUAAAUAAAAAAUUAAUAACUAAACACUAAUUGUAUGUUAAGUCAAUUCAAACACUUAACCUAAGUUGAGUAAAAGAUUAUUAAAAGAAUAUAAUUAAGAUAAAUAAAAAGUAUGUAAGUAUCUUCCUAAGUACAUCUUUUAAUCCAAUAAAAGUUAAAAGAGAGAGUACAUGUAAGAUAAGAAGAGGUUCACAUCUUCACACAUUAAUUAUAUGAGUCUUCUAAGAUCAUUUGUGUUAAUAUAAAACCACAAUCCAUGAAUUAAGAUAGUGAAGAGUUGGAUUAGUGAUGAAGGAAGAAGGUGAAUUGAAAAAGAUGAAUAAUAGAAAACGCCAAGAUCAUGAAAACUAGCAAGGAUCCGGAAUAUCUGCAGCUGUGCAUGUGAAAUUUAGAUGAAGUCCAAAGUAGGAGAAGCAAACCAUCUAAAUGAAUAUGCUUCCUCAUCGAAACGACAACUGAAUAACAACAAACUAACCACUCAUCUACUAUACAUAUAUGUAGCUAAACACCACGCAAACCGAACAACCACAACUUUUUUUCCCUUUUCGUUGCUCAUACAAUACAAUGCAUAUCCUAUCACACCUGUUUUUCCUUAACACAAGACAUUGUUAUCAAUCAUGCCCACUUGGCUAAAUUUGACUAAGGUUACAUAAGCUUUUGUUGUUAUAUAUAUGAUGGGAAAUUCAACACAAUAAAAAUAAUAUCUCAACAAGAGCAAUAAGCAGAUAAUAAUUUUCUCAACUUGCAAGAAUCUGUGAGUAGCAAUAAUAAAUAAUGACAACAACACAAAAACACACUUCAGGAAGACACAAAAAUACAAAUUAUGCUCAAUAACUAGCAAAAUAGCAAUACAACAUAGAUGAAACAGAGAACAGGAAACCUGAAAAUUCACAAAACUGCAGCUACCGUAUGCGGCCUAUAUGUCACUGUUCCGGUGACUUUUGAACAAUCCAAACGGUCCAAUUAAAACAUCACGAGGUUUGAACCUUCUGACAAAAGUUCCGCCCGAUCCAACAGUGGACGAAACAGCAGCAGCAAUCCGAAAGUUUUCGUCCUCACUAGAAACGUUGAGAACGCUGCUGCAGUGUGAGAUGAAUUUCUCACUGUUCAAACAACUUCUGCAAGAUCUGAACGGUCAGAUUGAAUUCACUCGAAGUUUGAACCUGCUGACAAAAUUUCAGCUCAAUCCAACGGUUAACAAAGUGUCGGGGGUGGCCAGUAGUUGCUGAGUGAAACUUUCUCUCUCUUUUCUCUCACUCUCAGUAUCUGCUAACGGCUAUCUCCCUGUUCGAAAAAUCCUAAAGGUUAAUAUUGGAUUGUGCCUCCACAUAGGAAGUGAACCCAACCCAACAAAUCUCCCCCUCACAACUAUGUGGAGAUGAUCGACAAAUCGGCAAUCUCACAACAAGUUUCAAACUUGCUUCUCAGUAGCAUCUUAGUCAUCAUAUCAACACAAUUAUGAUACCUCACAUCAAUAUGCUUGGACCUAGAAUGGAAAGUUGAAUUCUUACCAAGAUGAAUGACACUCUGACUAUCACAAAAUAGCAAGUACUUGUCUUGAACAAAACUAAGCUCUUGCAAGAAUUUCUUCACCCAAAGCAACUCCUUGCAUGCUUCUGUAAUGCAAUGAACUCUGCCUCAGUAGUGGACAAUGCAACACACUUUUGCAAUCUAGAUUGCCAUGCGACAACUCCCCCUACAAAUUUAAUCACAUAGCCUGAGGUAGACCUUCUAGAAUCUAUGUCUCCAACCAUAUCAGAAUCAGUAUAGCCCAUAAGGGUAGGCUUAUCACCUCCAAAACAAAGCUUCAAACAAGUAGUACCACGAAGAUACCUUAAAAUCCAUUUCACAGCAUUCCAAUGCUCUCUACCUGAAUUAGACAAAAAUCUACUAACAGUACCAACAUCAUGUGCAAUAUCAGGUCUUGUACACACCAUUGCAUACAUCAAACUACCCACAACAGAUGCAUAAGGAACCCGUUGCAUAUCUGAUUUUUCAGUUUCAUUAGAAAGACUUUGUUUUGCACUCAAUUUAAAAUGAGUAGCAAGAGGAGUGCUUGUCGCCUUAACAUUUUCCAUCUAGAACCUCUGUAGCACUCUUUUAACAUAGUGCUCCUGUGACAACCAAAACUUUUCCUCUUGCCUAUCACGCAUGAUUCUUAUACCAAGACUUUGCUUGGCAGCUCCCAUGUCUUUCAUAGCAAAUGACUCACUCAAUUGCUUCUUCAACCUGUUGAUCAUGGAAAUAUCUUUCCCAACAAUAAGCAUGUCGUCAACAUACAACGGGAUAAUGAAAUCAUUAUUAGCAAACCUUUUAACAAAGACACAAUGAUCAGAAGUAGUCUUCUUGUAGCCAUACUCACACAUAACAGACUCAAAUUUCUUGUACCAUUGACUCGGAGCCUACUUCAAGCCAUAUAAACUUUUCCUCAGCCUACACCCAUGAUCUUCCUUGCCUUCAACAAGAAAACCAUCAGGUUGCUUCAUGUAAAUCUCUUCCUCCAAAUCACCAUGAAGGAAAACAGUUUUAACAUCCAUUUGCUCUACCUCUAAAUCAAGAGUAGUAGCCAAACUCAAGCACAAUUCUAAUAGAUGACAUCUUCACCACAGGAGAAAAUAUCUCAUUGAAAUCAAUGCCUUUUCUCUGUCUAAAGCCAUUCACCACCAAUCUGGCUUUAUACCUUGGAGAUGUAGAAAUGCUUUCUUAUUUUACCCUAUAAAUCCACCUGUUUUCCAGAGCCUUCUUGCCUUUUGGCAAUUUCACCAAGUCAAAAGUGUGAUUAUCAUACAAAGACUUUAUUUCAUCUUGCAUUGCAUCCAACCACUUUUUCUUUUCUUCACUCUCUAUGGCCUCAAGAUAACACUCAGGUUCUCCUUCAUCUGUCAAGGUAACAUAGUCAUCAGAAGAAUACCUAGUAAAUGGUUCCCUCUGCCUAUUAGACCUCCGAAUUUGAACUUGAGGUGGUUCAGGAGCAUCACCAAGAUCUUUAUCUUGUGACAUCCCAUGUUCCUAUUUAACGUCAUCAAUAGGAACAUCAAAAUCAUCUCCAAGUUGUUGAUCAUCAACAUCAUCAUGUUGCUCAUCAUUCUUAACAUUAUUCUCAAUAGUAUCCAGAUCACAUAGAGGCAUUUGAACUGGAUCAACAUUAGACAAUCUAUUAUCUAUAUUAGAUGUCGUUUUCUCUAUCUUGUCAAUAUCUUCCAUGGUUUGAUCUUCCAUGAACUUCACAUCACGACUUCUAAUUGACUUCCUCUCAACAGGAUCAAAGAACUUGUAGCCAAAUUCAUCUUGACCUGAACCAAUAAAGAUGCACUGCCUUGUCUUCGCAUCCAACUUGGAUCUCUCAUCCUUUGAAACACGCACAUAUGCUUUACAACCGAAGAAUCGCAAAUGAUCAUACCUUACAUUCUUGCCAAACCAAAUCUUGUCUGGCACCUCACCAUUCAAAGCAACUGCAGGACUCAAAUUAAUAACAUGCACUGCAGUGUACAAUGCCUCACCCCAAAAAUGCUUAGGCAACUUUGCUUCAGAAAGCAUACACCUAACUCUUUCGAUCAAUGUUCUGUUCAUCCUUUUUGCUAAAUCAUUUAGCUGAGGAGUUUUAGGAGGAGUCUUUUCAUGUUUAAUACUGUAUUGCUUGCAAUAAACAUCAAACGGUCCACAAUACUCACCACCAUUGUCAGUACGAAUGCAUUUCAGCUUCUUGCCUGACUGUCUCUCAACCAAAACAUGAAUUUCUUUGAAUUUCUCUAUAACUUUGUCCUUUGUCUUCAAAGCAUAAACCCAAAGCUUCCUAGAGCAAUCAUCAAUAAAGGUAACAAAAUAAAGUGCACCAGUAAAUGACUUUACUCACACAUUCACUCUAACAUACUCGAAUCUAAAGACAAUUUUUUUUUUACACUUUCUUCUCAAAUUCUCAUACUUCCACUCCCUUAAAUUCUUACACUUCAACUUCUCAAUCUAAACACAAGAAUAUUAUGAUUUUCAUGAAAGAAAGAAAUUCAAAAUAUAAUUAAAUAGAUGCUAAAUGGCAAAUACUUAUGUGCUAAAUAUAACUUUUUCUCACUAUAUGAUUUCGAGCAUAAUUAAUUAGUUGCAUUUGUCAAUUAGUGAUUGAUAUGAUUUAUUACCAUUAAUCUACAUGUAUAGCAAUGGAGUCAAAACUAGUAUGCGUAUUUUUUAUAUACUUUUAUAUAAUUAUUGACGUAUUUUUUUAGUCAAACAAACAUAUAAUCUUAACUAUUAUUUAGGGCUAGCAAUGGGACAACCUGCUACAAAAAAGUGCAGGACAAGUUCAUUAAUCUAAUUCGUUGAUCUGUUUAGGCUCGUUUUGCAGACCAAGCGAGACGAGGUGGGUUAGCCAGCUGACCCGCAUAAAUAAAAAAAUAAUUAUUUUAUUUUUUCUGAAAAAAUAGUCAUAUCCCACUCACUCAUUAUUCUAGUGUGACCUUUAUUUUAUUUUAUUUUAAAAGAAUUGAAUUUAAUAUACAAAAAAAUGAAAUGUUUUAUUUUAAUCAUCUAAAUGAGUUAAUAUUAAGAGUGACAACGGAUUUAGUUUUAAGUAAAGUCUUAUAUUUAAAAUUUGUUAAUAAAAAAAUAAUAUAAAUAAGAGAUUUCAAUAAGAUACUCGUUGAAAAAUUAGUCAUCUUCAUUCAAAUAUUUUGUUGCAAAAUUUUGAUAAGAUACUCUAAUACAUUAGAUACAUAUAUAUGGAAAAUAAAUGCAAAAGAAAACUUUAAUUAUUUUUAAUCAAACCUUCUAACAACCCUCAUACUCAAAUUCAUAUUUUUAUCUUAAUUGAAUGAAUUAAAACAAUAAAAUUUUAAUUUUUCAGUAGCAAAAAUAGUUUUUUAUAAUUAAUGAAACUUUAAUUUUUUUUUAAAUAUUUUUCUUAUACAAACUGACCCGCAGGCGAACUAUUUCUUAUACGGGGUAAAAUAGUAAAAUGAGUUCGCACUCCUUAUACAUGGUAGAAUAGUAAAAUGAGUUCGCACUCCUUAUACGGGACAGACUAAUCCAAUUCACAUUUUAUAGACCGAACACAUGAUGGAUCUAUACAGAACGAACUAACCCGCAUUGUCACCUCCUAUUUCUUAUGUUUUUUUCAUUCUCUUUUUACACUUUCUUUUAAAGGUACUUACUAAAUAAUUAACAGAUAGAAUUUAUGUGAAAGUGGUUUUUUGUUUUGGUUUUCCUUUGCACGAGAAUCACGGUGUUUCUUAUGUUUUUAUGUUUUGAAAUUGUAGUAGUCCAUCUCAAACACUAAUUUAUUUUGUAUUUCGAAUUAGUUUAUAUCAUAAUGAAUGUGAUUCCCAAGGUGACUACAUUUUGUAUCAUUUAUCUAUAUAUCUAUAAAUCUAUAAAUCUAUAAAUCUCUAAAUAUAUAUAAGUAAAGGGUAUUUCUAAGGAAAGUUUUGCCACGUGUCCCCACAAGAAAUUUCGGUUUCAAUUCUGAGUAAGAUGAUUGCUUUGGUUAAAUAAGAGGUAAUUUUGAAAGUUUAACAAAAGGGGAAUGCAGGAAAAGGAAAUGGUGAUAACUGAUGAAAGAAAAGACAGUUCCAAAUAGCACAGCUAUAAGAUUAAAAAAGCAGAAGAAAGGGUAAAAAAAAACAUUAUUGGUAGCUUCAAUAAAGCAUGGGGUCAAGGAAUUAAUUAUUAUUAUUACAUCAAAAAUCCAUGUUGGGAUGAGGGAAUAUUGAAAAUGUCUCCAAACAUAUGCUAUAUUGCAAGGUGUCACCUAAGUCAACAUGAAGUUGCAUUUGUCGUAGCCUGUGCAAAACCAUGGGUUUUACAAAAACACACAAGUUAGUGUAAAUAUACUUAGCAUUAGUACAUAGUAAAAAAGAAGAGAAAGAAUAUGUUACUAAUAUGAGAACAUAGUAUAUAGAUAUAUUCUUCUUACUUUCAUCAUCUAAUUAUAAAUUAACUCUCUUACCCAAAAAAAAAAUCUAAUUAUUAGCUAACUUAUAUGAUAAAUUUAUUUACCUUGGCACUAUUUAUUUUAAAAAUUAUUCAAAAUUUAUGGGUAAAAUAUUUUUUUAUCACUUCAAAAUAUGUAAAUUUCGGUUUUAUUUUCUCAAAAACAAAACUGCCCAUUUUUUAUUCCCAAAUUAUAAAACUUGCUACUUUUAGUUUUAUUAAUUAAUUAUAAGCAUUUGUACCCGAGAUAUUAUGAACAAAAACUAAAAAGAAUUUUUUCAUAAGAAACUAUUAACUUAUGUUUAAGUUAUAAAACAUAAUUUAGUGAAAUUAUGCAUGGAAGUUGUAUAAACCCUAAUGGUUAAACCUUAAUAAUAUUUCUGAGUAUUGCACAAUUACUUACUUGGAUCAACCGUGACGAGCAUGGCAGUUCCACCAAAGUCACAAGUCCCUCCACCAAUCUUAGUGUUCUGCCAGUAACUAUUGAAGGCAAAGGAAGCAUGGGACAGUAGAGUGUUGGGCUGGAAGCAGAGCCCAUUGGGCUGAAUUGAUUUGCAAUCUGCUCCAGACCCACAGGCAUAGUCCAUGGCCUCCUGAAUGAUCGGGUCUGGAACCGUGGGCUUUGCCACACACCAAAGGGCGUACUGUGGGGGCUUUUUGCGGUGCGUGGAGGGUGAAGGGGGUGGUGGGAACACCACAGGAGGUAGGUACACCAGUGGUGGUGGGCUUUGACUUGGAACACUCUUUGGUGGGCCUGGUGGGCUUGGAGAAUGCUUUGGUGGGCUUGAAGAAGAAUAAGGAGAUGGUGGUGGUGGUGAAGAAGCAACAAUGCUUCUUGGGCUUGGGGGCCCAUGAUAAGGUGGGCUUGGAAGAGGUGAAAAUGCUGGGAGAUUAGGGUUGCCAACGCCACCUGUGGUUGGAGGUGCCAAUGGAGGAGCAGUGGAGCUUGACGAUGGUGGUAGUGAAUUGUAAGGUGGCAAGGGUAGGGAAGAAGGAGAGCCAUAUGAAUCAAAAUCUGAGAACCCAAAUGAAUCAAAUGAUGAAUACUUGCUCAAACGUUUUAAAGAUUUCAUUUUCAGCUUCUUGGAGGAUUUGAUGAGGGUGCUUCUAUGGAUUCUGUGACCCCUUAAUAUAGCCCUUCCAUGAUACAUAGCAUCUGAAACAUAAGAAAAAAAAAACAUUAGGGUUACUACACUAACCAAAACUGAAAAAAAAAAAAACUAUAUUAUGGACUUUACCACACAUAGGGAAAAGAGUGGAAGCUAGCAUUGAGAAACUAAGAAAUGCAAUGGUGAGUCUAAGAAUGUGAUCCAUUGUAGAAGAAUUGAUGUUGGAAAUGUAAAGAGUUGAGGAGAGUGAAACAUGCAUGGCAAUAUAAGGAGCCCUAGUAAAGUGAGAAGGCUUGAAGAUGAACUAAAGUUAUGAUUCUGCGGUGUUCACUUUAGUUUUGUUGGUGUCACUUAAUAGCAAUGCAUGCAUUUGGAUAUUAUAUUAGAGUGAGUUUUUGUUGUGAGGAAUAUAUGCUUACUUGGACGUGAACCUUGGUCUUGCUUGUGUGCCACUCAAAGAACUACAUGAGAUUUGGGGUCAUUUUUUAUAUAUGUGAUUAAGCUUUUCAAAUUCUUGCUUUUAAAAUUCCUAUUGUGAUUGAACUCAUCAAAAGUAUAAGUUGAAGACUCACUUUAAAUCAUAUCAAUAUAACUAGCUAAAACAUAGUUUUCUUUUAUAUAUACGUGUCAACAUUUUUAUAUGUAGAAAAAUAUAACUGUUGUAACUACACUAAAAAAACUAAAUUUUAUUAGUGAUUUAUAUUUAGUGGUUAUAGUAAACCGUUAGAAAUAAUAUAAUUCCUGUCAUAUUAUUCUAAUAACAUUAAUAUUAAUAAUACUAAUAAUAGCAUUAAUACAUAAUAUUAACAUUAACAAAUAUUAAUAAUAAUAUUAAAAAUAAUUCUAAUAACCGCCAAAAAAAAGUUAUAUUACUUUGAUAUUUUUUAACUUUUAAUUAUUAAAGUGGAAACACUAACCAAACAAAAAAUUAUUUUGAUAUUUCUGUUUUUAAUUUAGUUACUACAAACAAGUUUUCUAUGAGAUUUCUCGAAUCUUACAAUAGUUUGUUUUCAUGAUUAUUGUAUAAAUAGAUAAUUUCUGCAUCAAAUCAGCCUAUAAACAAACAUCUUCAGAUUUCAAAGGCCCGUGUUUAUAUUUUUAAAUUUCAAAAAUACUUUUAUUAAUUUUCCUUCUUCUGGAUAAUGUCACUUUGCAUGUCAAAUAACUAUAGAAAUUUAUGUUUAUGAUAACUCAUUAUCAAGAAAACAAUUAAUUAUUAAUAUUUCUAAUGUUAUUUACAAAGAUAAAUUAUCUUCAUUUAUUGAUUAUCAUCUAAGUUCAGAAUAUAAGAUAGUUUUAACAUAUAAUUGUAAUAAAUAAUUAUUUUCUUUUCUUUUUAUUUUAGUUAGUAAGUUACUUGUAUUCAUAGGAACUAUGUAGAAUAAAUAAUUGAAGUAAGAUAAUAACACUCGUGCGGAACCGUUGAUAGAGAGAAACAAGGUGAAAUCUCUAAUCGCAAACAAGAGAGAAUAGAGAAAAGAAUAAAGAUUGAAAUGUAAUAAAGAAGGUAAAACGCACAAAUGAGAAAGUAUAUUUCGUAAAAUGAAUUAUUAUGUUACAGAAAGCAAAAGUGAAGGUGUAUAUAUAAAUCAGUAAAGGAAAAAUGUAAAAAAAUGUUACAAAUAGUAAACGGGGCCAAUCAAAGCCCAUUAAACUAAAUUUGGACUUUAUCACCCCCUUUAAGCUAGGAGUAUAUAAUUUUUUUCCUGGCUUGGACUUGAUUUCUUUAUAGAUUGCAGGACAAGAGGCUUGGUGAGGAUAUUAGUAAUAUGCAAAAAGGAUGCUAUAGGAAGUAAUUUGAAAAGGCCAAUAGUAAUCUUUUCUCAAACAAUUUGAUAGUCAAUCCCAAUAUGCUUUGCGCGCUCAUGGAAGACUUGAAUAGAAGCAAUUUGAAUGGCAAAUUGGUUGUCAUAACACAAGAUUAUGGAAUUCCAAGUUUGUGAAGAAUGUAUGUCAACCACUGGAUCUCAUAAGUUGUUGUGGUUAAAGCUCUAUAUUCAGCUUCGGAGGAGCUUUUGGAGAUUGUCUGUUUUUUUUUAUUUUGAUGAGAUUAAAGACUCCCCUAAGAGGAUAACCAGUCACAAAUUUUUGAGUUUCAAGACAUGUGACUCAAUCUAAAUCAUUGUAUUCGCAAAGUUAAGUAACAUUGUUGCAAAGUUAAGUAACAUUGUUGCAGUGGAGAAAGAUGUCAGUCCUGGGACUAACUUUUAAAUAACAAAGAAGAUGAAAGACGACGUGUUGAUGGAGGGUGAUAGAAGAAGAGGUAAAUUGGCUUAAAUUGUUGACAGUGAAGAUGAUAUCAUGUUGAGUGUUGGUGAGAUAGAUAAGUCUGCCAUUAAGUCUUCUAUAAGUAGAGCAUUAUGCUUUAGUAAGUUUUGUACCCUCUGAAGAAGAAAGUCAAGAUGGUAGUAUCCAUAUUCUCAAGAUUUGGAAUAUCAAAAUCAAACAUAAUAUCACAGUUUAUAUUAUAGUUAUCAAGAAUAGGUAAAGACAAAUUGUUGGGGCUUCAUGUAUCAUCAUUGUUCAAUCUGCAUGGAAAAUGAUUUUCAUGAAAGAUGACAUGUCUUGAGAUCUCAAUACGAUGAUAUUUUUAAUUUAAAAGAAUAUAACCUUUGGUAUUGUGUGGAAAACUGAGAAAAAUACCAUGAACAGAUCUUGCAUCUAAUUUCUUUUUAUUAGCAUUAAUGGUAUUGGAAUAGCAAGAACAAUCAAACACAUGUAAAAAGGAUCUAUCAUAAGGUUUGCCAAACAAUUUUUCAUAAGGAGCAAUGAUUUGCAACAAACGAGUGGGUGUACAGUUAAUGAGAAAAAUAACAUGUUGAACACCAAAAUCCCAAAAGAUAGGAGAUAAAUUAGCUUGAAACAGUAAAGCACGAGUGACAUUUAAAAUAUGUUGGUGUUUAUGUUCAGCUAUGUCAUUUUGUUGUGGUGUUUCUAAGUAAGAGGUUUGAUGAAUUAUGCCUUUAGAGGUAAAAAACUUUUCAUUGCAAAUUCAGCCCCAUUAUUAGAAUAUAUAGUUUUAACUUUAGUAUUGAAUUGAUUUUCAAUGUAAGCAACAAAUUUAAUAAGAUGAGUUCUAACUUUAGAUUUUGAAUGCAAAAAUAUAGUCCAUGUAUAAAGAGAAAAAUCAUCAACAGUUGUUAGAAAAUAUCGAAAACCUUGCAUAGAUGUAACAAAACAAGGACCCUAAAUAUCAACAUGAAUUAGGUCAAAGAUAGCAGUAGUUUGAGAAGUACUUAAAACAAAAGGAAGUUUUCGUUAUUUGUUACGAUUACAAAUAUCACACAUAUGAGUCUUAUUAGCAUAAACAAAAGAGUAUUGAUUUUUCAAGUCAUGCAACCUUUCAUCAAAAGGAUUCCCCAUUCGAUAAUGCCACAUGUUAGUGUCCUUAAUAGUGCAAUAUACAAAAUGAACAAAAUUGUGUGUGGCAGUUUGAAAAAUAGUAGAGCCAAAGAUAUACAAGUCAACUUUGGCAUUAACUAAACCAAUCUUCUCUUUGGAGAGGUUGUCCUAUAUCAGACAAUGUGUGGGAGAAAAGAUCAAGUUACAAUUUAGGUGCAGAGACAAUUUAAAAGUUGAAAUGAGUUUACAAGCAAACUAAGGAAUGUAUAAUACAUCAAGAAGAUAGAAUUUAUUAUUGAAAAUAAUUGUCCUAUAAUAGUCUGCAAAAACAUGUUGACCAUUUGGUAAAUUGAUAAGGACAAGUUUGAUACUUCUAUAAGAAAUGAAAGUAGAUAAAAUAAUGCAUACAUGAUUAGUGGCUCCAUAAUCAAUAAUCCAAAUAUUUUGAGUAUGCUAUAAAAAGGUGAAAGUAUUCUUGCCUGUUGAAGACUGCUCAUGUGCUUUGUAAUCUACAAAAAAUAAGUCCACUUGAUUCACUUGGACAGGAUUGGCUGCUCUGUCACUAUUAUUUUGUCUUAACACAUCGGUUAGAAUCUGAUAUUGAUGAGUUGUGAGAAGAUAGACAUGGUUUUCAUGCUCUUUUUGACAAGUCACAAAAAAAAUAUCAUCAGUAACAACCAGAUUAUUAACUUGAUUAGCCCUAUUAUUUCUAUAAAAUUUGUUAGAAUUAAUGGCCUAAACAAGAGGGGGUGAAUUGUUUGACAAAAUAUUUUCGCAAAUAUGAUCUAAGAGUGAAGAUUUAUGAAUCAAUUACAGAAAGAUCAAUCAGGGGAGCCAAUAAACCAAAGUUGUUAAAACUGUUUGUAGAAAAACAAUUGGUUGAAAUUUCGUUUUAACCGGUUGUUUAUAGCAGCAAAGACAAAAACCACAUCAAACAGUUUGUAAUGAGUGAGAGAGAGAGAAGAUUACACAAUCAAUUUAUACUGGUUCACUCCUUACCAAAGCUACAUCCAGUCCCCAGAAAAUCACUGGGUAUUCCACGAAGAAUCAAUCAACAUAUUACAAUUACACAACACUACAAAGAGGUGAUCUUGAUCCCACAAGAACACACACACUCUUUUCCUUUUCACACAACCACAGCCAGAACAACCUUUUGUUGGGUCUAUUAGUGUCUAAGUUCAAGAGGGGAGGGGUGAAUUGAGCUUAUAAAAUUUUCGCAAGAACACACAAUUUUUCAGUAUUCCAGAGGCAAAAAGAACAGAUUGUUUUUACAUGAAACAGAUUGAUUUUUCAGAGCAGUAUUGGCACAAUUUGAAUUUUGUUCACUGUAAAAUUGUGAUCAACAGAGAAUCAGAACAGAACCAGAUCAGCUUAUUAUUGUGAGGAUAAAGGAUAUAGCUAUGCUUAGAGAUCAACCAAAAUUACACAACACAAGAUUUCAAGAAAAAUGAUCCUUUCACAGGUUUUAAUGAAUGGUCAGUUUGUUCACAAUUCACUUAAGCCAUUAUAUGCAGCAACCUUGUUUAUGAUCAGAAAACUUUAACAAGACAGGAAGAACAAUUUUCACUUAACCCAGAAUUAACAGAUUCAAUUUAAAAAGAACAGAUUUAGUUCUUGACAGGAUUAAGCAAAAACAGAAAAGAGUGCAGGGAUGAGAAUGCAAGAUACACACGUUUUUAUACUGGUUCACUCAUACAGAGCUACAUCCAGUCUCACCUUACCCCAAGGUGGAAUUCACUAAAAAACAGUGCCAAUCACUUACAAAACCAGCAGUUCUUGAACACUACAAGAACACCACACACAAUGCUGAAAAACCCUAUUUCAGCACACCUUGCACUCCAAGAAACCCUAUCAAGGAGUGACUAACACCUACACCUUUACAAAACAGAAUAAAGGAAAGAUUACACCUGAAAAGAAGAUGCAAGAACUCAAAACCAGUAGUUCAAUUUGCUGCAGAAACUGCACCAGCACCUUCACCAAGAUUCAAGGUUUCCUAGAACAAGCACACUUGAAAAUCUCUUUGGAAACCUUUCAAAAACUCUUUCAAUCCUUCUUCUCACAUGGAAACUGUUUGAUCUCUGUCAAAAGCGUAAUUCCUCAGCCCUUGUUCAUGUGAGAGAGACAUUGUUUAUAUAGAAAACAGUUUCUAACUUCUUUUCAAAAAACAGUUGAAAAGCAGUUAAGAAAACAACAGAUUCAGUUUUGAACUUAACAGAUUUAUUUUGUGAAAACUGCCAACUCAGCUUAACAGAAAUAACUGUCUGAGUGGUACCUUUGGUGCCCUAACUAACUUGUGAAAAACCUUUCAGCACACCAAAGAAUAAACCUGUUCUUUCACAGUAAAACAGAUUAAAGUAUAACACACAAGCCAGCUCAUCUUAACUGAAAUAACGAACUGAGCUUUCCCUUGGUGCCUUAACAGAAAUUUAGAAAAGCCUUUUAACAGAGAAGAAAUAAACAGAUUCUUUCUCCAUAAAACAGAUUUAUUUGUGUACUGUUUUAAAACUGUUAAAACCAUUUUAAAAAGCUUUUCAAAAACCAUUUAACGAAAGCCUUUUUAACAGGGAAGAAAUAAACAGAUUCUUUCUCCAUAAAACAGAUUUAUUUGUGUACUGUUUUAAAACUGUUAAAACCAUUUUAAAAAGCUUUUCAAAAACCAUUUAACCACAUCAUGUGCUUGAUCUAGACUUGGUUAGGCAUCUAGGAUAGGUUACACAGCAAAAGGCAAUCAUACACACCUACAAGCCUAAUUGCAAAUGAAUCUAAAACCCUAUUACAAUCUUCAAAGCACUCAAGCCAUUUUCUUCAUCAAACACACAUCAAGCCUUGGUAGGGAAGAAGCUUCCUCCAGCUUCAACACCUUUGACCUUACAGAUUUAAUGUUUUACAAGAAUACAAGAUGAAAAACAAUUACAAGAAUAGAGGAACAGAUUACACCUAGUGUACAGGAAAUCGCAGAGCUCCUAAACCACUUGCACAACCUUAGGCAAUCUUAGCUUGAAUCAAAUCUCCCUAAAAAAUCUUUCUUAAUCUCACUUUCUGUGUGUUUUCAAAUAUGGAGGGUAACUAGUUUUAUACCUCUUCAAUCUAGCCAUUUUAGGCAGUUAAACAUGAGCCAAAACAUAUUCAAAUCAACUGAAAACAGAUUUAACAAGUUUUUUGAAAAGCUGUCAAGAAAUUUGACAAUCAACCGGUUGAAAUGUCGUUUUAACCGGUUGAAUUGGUUUUGACAGUUAGUCAACCAAGUCAAAAUCAGUUUUGAAAACCCUUAAACAAGCUAAGUGUAAACACAACCGACUAAACCGUGAAAUCAACCGGUUGUUUUUCACUAGACUUUAGAAAAACACUUUUCUUUUCCAAAACAGAUUGAUUCAGCUAUGCAUUGGUUUAAGAAUGAACUUUACAAAUUCUAAACAACCCAGAACUUAACCCAAACACAACAACACAGACACAAGUUUUCUUCACAGAUUUGGAGGCAUCAAAGCUUCAUUUUCUACAGAAAUUAUACCUCGGAGGGUAUCUAUGUUUCUUAUACCAGUGCAGAAACGAAACUGUUAUAGUAAGUACAUAACUUUCUAAUGUGUUGAAUUUUGUGUUCCUAUUAUCUUGAGUAGGAAACACAAUCUUUCUAAAACAAACAUUUUUGGUAUGCCCAUAUUUGCCACAAAAAGCACAUAACAUAGAAGUAGUGAUCUGAUUGGAAUUGGCAUUAUUGAUACUGGAAAUAUUAACAAAGAUAUUAUUAGCUAAUUGUCUUUCUUAUUAUGCAACGAGGGAUUUUAUUUUAUUUUUUGGUAUGGGUAGGAUGGGCUUCAUGAGUAAAACAUGUGACCUUAUAUUAUUAUACUGAUCAUUCAAGCCUCUUAAAAAUUGCAUAGCAUGAUCUUCGCAUUUCCUUUGACUUAUGAUGGAACCAACAAAGCAAGAACAUUUUACAGAACAUGUGCAUAUAGCAUUAGGCCUAAAAUUAUCUAACUCAUCCCAAAUAAGUCUCAGUUUAGUGAAAUACUCAGUCACGGAUAAAUUCCCUCGAUUUAAAGAAGCUACCUCAAGUUGAAGAUCAGAAAUUCUAGAUAAGUCACCCUGAAAGUAUAUGGUUUUCAAAUCAUUCCAGAUAUCCAAGGAAACAUCCAUCCACAUAAUACUUUGCUGAAUUGGAAGAGAGACAAAGUGCAAUAACCAUGAAACCACCAUAUUAUUGCAUAUGUACCAGGGCGAGUAAUUUGAAUGGUUUUUCUUUGGGCAAGGAUUCGCAUCAAGGAUAAAUUCCACUUUGUUCUUGUCAUUCAAGGCCAUCAUGAUUGAUCGGCUCCAAGAGUGAUAGUUGGAUGAAUCUAGCACUAGCAAAACAAGCGAAGCAUCAAGGUUUUCACUUGGAUAAACAUACAAAUAGCUACUCGCUGGUUGAUCCAUUUGAGAAGAUGAAGUGGAAUGUUCAUCAACCAUUACUACAAGAAAAGAAACAAAAACAAAAAAUUCAAGAAAGGAAGAAUAAUAAAAAAAAAAGAAAAAGAAAGAUUUGGAGUGCACAAUAGAGCUUUUCAACCGAAAAACUCUAAUACCAUAACACGAUCGUCAACUCAAGGAGAAGAACCCUAAAAGGACAUGACGAGUGAGAGGCGAAGGCGAAACUGAUGAUAGAGAGAAGUAAAAAGCAAGAAUGUGAAAAUCCUAAUCACAAACAAGAGAGAAAACAAAGAAAAAGAUAAAGAUUGAAAUGUAAAAGACAACACACAAAUGAAAAAUAUAUUUUGUAAAAUAAAUUAUUGUGUUAAAAAAGAAAAAAAAAACAAAGAUGUAUAUAUAAAACAAUAAAAGAAAAAAGUAAAACAAAUUAGAAAUUAGAAAUAGUAAACUAGGAUUAAUAUAAGUCCCAUUAAGCUAAACUUGGAGAAAAGAAAAAUAAUUCAAGACACCACUUUUUUUCUACAAUACAACAUUCCAUGGUAAAUAUUUUUUUUUUUAAAUUUAAUAAAAUAAUUCUAUAAUAUUCUAUUGGACUUAUACGUAUCGAGAAGUAAAUCUUGAAUAUGUUUAUGUCAAUGAAAAAAUAAUGUCUAUUUGGAUAAAUUUAUCGUGUUUUGAUUUUGGUAGAAAAUUACAUUUAACAUCCAUUUUCUAACCAAUUUUAUUAUUAACUUUAGGAGAUAUUUUAUUAUAAAUUUGUAAGAACGUGAAUGGAUAAAUAAUAACAAUAUUUUUAAGAUUGACAAUGCACAACCCUCACCCUAAUACAUUUACUUUCUCUCAAAUAGUGAUUGGUAUUAACUUAACUAUCUAUUACACAAAUCAUAUAAUUAUGUGUUUUGUUACAAUAAAAAAACAAUGUGUCAAUGUUACUAAAAUUUUAGUUACAUAAUUUUUAUAAAUAAUCCCUAAUAUAUUUUUAUAAUUGUAUCAAUCCUAAACUACUUCAUUAACAUAAUUUAAAUUUUUAAAAACAAAAAAUAUAUUUUAACUUUAAUAAUAUUUAAAAAAAAUAGUAAAUAUUUUUAACUUAUCAUAUAAAAUAUUUUUAAUUCAAAUUAUUUAAAAUAUUUUAUAUAUUUUUAAUAUAUCAAAACUUGAUUUAAGUAAGUUUUGUAAAGAAAAAAAAAGUUUUAAUUCUUUAAUUUUAUAUAUGAUUUUUUUUAAAAUAAAACAAAAUUAAAAUUUUGAUAUUAAAUAUUACAAGAUAAAAAAUUUCACAACAUUAUUAUUCAGUUUAUGUGAUUUUAAUUUUUUUUUAAAUUAUUAUAUAUAUUUUUUCAUUUUAAAAUUAUUAAUUAUUAUUUUGAUAAAAAAAAUAUUUUAACUCAAGUCGUCAACUAGAAAACAAUUUCACUUCCAAUAAAAUACAUUAAAAUCGUAAAAUCUAAGUAAUUUUUUUUAUAUUUUAUUUAAACUAAAAUUAUCAUUCUACUUGAUACAUUAAAAAAUCUAAAACAAAUUAGUGGAAUUAUUUCAGUUCAAAUAAAAUAUAUUAAAAUCGUAAAAUUUAAAUAGAUAUAUUUUAUAUUUUAUUUAAACUAAAAUUAUCAUUCUACUUGAUACAUUAAAAAUUAGUGGAAUUAAUUAAAUGAUUGACGACUUUAAUUCAAGUGUUUCAUAUCCAUAUAGGACUUUUGAAAAUGAAUUGUUUACUUUUAUUAUUUUUUGUGUUCAUUUUCAUAUUUUCAUUACUAAAUCAAACCUUUUGUGUAAUUACCUCCUUCCAUCUCCUAGGAAGAACCAUUAAUAAAACAUUUUUCUUCGAAAAAGUUUAAACAGAUAGAACAAAUAGUUUAGGACAAAAUCAGUGGUUUAUUCAAUAUAAUCAGGUCAUUUUAGCAUUUUAAAUUUAAUUAUUUUAAAACAAACUAAGUCAAACGUGCAAGUACUUAAGUAAAAGUUAUAAAGUGGUUUAUUUUAUUAUCGCAUUAAGUAUUCUAUUAUUUUAGUUACGUGAAGACGCAAUACCCCAGGGUAAGACAAUUGAAGUCACGUGAAUGCUGUUGAAUAAUGAUGUUUCUUUGACACGACAGACAUUACAAUUUGCAACGGUUACUUUGCGUGUCGUUGUCACUGUUUCUCUUUCUUCCUUUUUCCCUUACCCAACGUAAAAGCUUCCAAAUUGGUCUUAGUGCAAAGAAAACAAAGAGACAGAGGAAAAGAAAAACACAGCCAUUGUGUUUUGCAAUGGAGUUUCAAAGAAAGUCAGUGAAAGAGAAAGCAGAAGAGGAAGAGGAACAAGCAAUGGUGUUGAAAACUACAAAAGUGGUGGAGUAUUUGGUGCCAAAGAUGUCAAUUGAGCUUCUGUGCAAGUUUCCAGAUAACUCUGCUUAUGACUUUGACUACUCUCAGAGCACAAUAUGGUCCCCUUUGCUUCCCGCACCCUGCACUCCAAUGGAUUUGAAUCUCAUAACUCCAAAAAAGCUUUCCUAUGAGAUGGGUUUGGGAGCAAGGUGCAGUGUCAAGAAGGUGGGUUCUAAGCUUAGGAACAAGUUCAAUCUCAACCUUCAUUUCAUCAACAAACAUGGCAAGAACAAGAACAACAACAAGAAACUGUCUUCUGAUUUCUCACCAACACCCUUCAAAGGUUCUUGCAACCCCAUCAUGAACAAGGUAAUUUUAGUUUGUGUUACAUUUUUGCUUUGGUUUAUGUUUCUGAUUCCCAUUAAGAUUUUGUUUUCUGAUCUGUGAAGGUUGAGAAACAUUUUGGAAUUUUGAAUAUAUAGGCAUUGCUUUCAUGGACUCAGUUUGUGAUAAAUGCUGGUAGAGAAAACCCUGUUAAGCACAACAAAGGAAAAAAUAAAAUAAGUAUGAUCAAUUGAAUGAGAAAAAUACAGCAUUAUGUGUGAGUGUGUGAUACACAAUCCAUUAACUGUUUUUAUUUUUUAACAAAUUGUUAGCUUGAACUGAUGAUUUUAUCUGGGUUUCUGGCAUUUUUAUUUUCUGUGUAAUGUCUUAUGGAAGUUGAAUUUUUUUUACUUUAUGCAGAGAAAUCUGAAAUUAUGAAUACCCUUGUGAAAAAGUUACCUUUAAAAACUUUCUGUUGAAAUUAUUUUCUAUACUUGUUCACUCUACAAGUGUUGAUGUUGUUUGGUGAUGAAAGGGGCAAAAUGUUGAAUGUUAUUAUCUAUUGGAAAUAAUUUGCGUUUUUUGUUUGAUCCAGCGAUGGGCAAAAGCACUGAAAGCUGCUUCUAAACAGUUCAAGAAAUGGAAGACAAAGAGAGACCCCAUUGCCCAUGUCAUGCUACCCAGAUGAUGUUUUUUAAAUAUCUGCUGAAUGGGUGAUGUUUUUACUUUUUUUUUAAUUGUGAAUUAGUUUAUUUAUUCAAUUUAAUCUAUUUAAUCUAUACAUUAAGAAAGGUUUAGUUAAGUCUUUCAACUUUUUCGACAACAAUAUUUGUAUCAUAGUAGCUCUUCAACUUAAAAAAUAUUAAGGUUAAAAAAAUACAAAGGUUUAAUUGUGCAAAUAAGACACUUAAGUGUAUUUCUCUUAUUUCUUUUUGAAAUCUUACAAACAAGUACACCUAGACCAUGAUAUUCAACUUAGAUUGGACACGUGUAAGUUAUCUCAACUUUAUCCCCGGAAUAAAAAUUCAAUCUCCAUUUCUACUCUCAUACUUUACUUUACGGAUAUAAAUUUUUUUUCUCAUCCCCCGUCCCAUAAGUUUAUACCCAUACUUAUACUUAUACCUAUAAAUAUUAAUUAAAUAUUUUUUUAAAAAUAGAUAUAAAUAAUUUGAUAUUUUCAAGCAUUCAAUAUUAAUAAACAUUUUCUUUUCUCAUCAAGAAAAAAUUAUAAUUGUAUAAAUAUUAAAGGAGGGUAUUAAAUAAAAAUUAAAUAAAAUUUAAAUAAUUAUAGAAAAGAGUAAAAAUCAUAUGACCUAGAAGUAAGUUAUGAAGUUAAGGAUAUUUUUAGGUUACUUAAAAAAUAAAAUGUGUUUUAGUAAUUUAGAACGAUGACGACUAUGAGGACGAGGAUGAAUAUGAGGAUCCUUAUCCGCGAAAACGAGUUCAUUUGUCAUCCUUAUCCUAGACACAAUUAGAUAAGAGUGAUCUAUCAUUCCGCGAAAGCGAGUUCAUUUAUCAUCCUUACCCUAGACACAAUUAGAUAGGAGUGAUCUAUCAUUUUUCUAUACAAAGUCUUAUCUAAGUUGCUUGACUCUUCCGAUCCAAGGCAAAUUUAGCCAUAUGCUGGAGCAAUGUCAUUGUGCCUUUACUUCAAGCUUCUAAAAGUUCAUCUCUUUCUCAAGUAUAUUAAAAACUAAGAAAUGAAGAAUUACCAUGUUGAUUGCAAGGUGCUUAUAAAUGGAUUCUCUAAAGAAUCAUCUCUUAGAGAUGAAGUGGUGCUUAUAAAUGGAUUCUCUAAAGAAUCAUCUCUUAGAGAUGAAGUGGUCAAAGUAUGUUGAUUAUUAGGAAAGUAUGGUUUUUUUGUCUUGUCAAUGUCAUGACUCCUUAUCGUUUCUCUAAUAAGAAAUGUACUUCUACAACCACCUAAACUUUUCCAUAUCAAAGAAUUUUGAAGUAAAAACUAAAAAUAUUGAACUUAGAGAAGCUUGGAAAUCAAUCUGCACAUUUUUCUUAGUCAAAGAAGUGAAACUUAUUUUGAAAAAUAUUCUUUUAGUUUACUCUUACAAAAAACUCUUAUUAUUUUCUAUCACAUAUAAGUAUUAAGUAUUUAAGAGUAUUUUGAAGAAAGUUGUCUCUAAAAUGAUCUUGUGUUUCCCAUGCACUAUACUAUGGAUUUUCAAUUCCAAUAUCACAAUCAGAAAGAAAGAGAAAGAUAUUGUGAAGGAAUUGGAGGAUUGACGAAAAAAUGAUGAGGACGAUGUGCCUUGAUAAGAGGUUCAACUUGUUGUUUCCAAAUAAAAAAAUUGUGUGAGAGAGUUUCUCCAAUACAGAGUAGGAGAAGAAAAUCGAUGGAGGAGCGAUUGGUGAAAUUGGAAUAGGUGUGGGCGAUGAUGUUGGUUAACAUACAAUAACCAUAGAGAAAAAAUGAAGCUAUGAAAGAAAAAAUUCAGAAUGGGUAGCCAUAAACGAGUUUUCAAGCUCUGGAUACUAUGAUAGAUUUCAAAAGAAAAAUAAUAUUGAAAAAAUGAUCUAUUUUCUUAUCAUCAGAAACAACAAAUAUAAUGAUUAUAUAGGCAGCUAAGCGGUGCUGAAAACAUGCACCGCUAACAAAAUGAUUACAAUUAAAACAAGAAAGUAUUACAAUUAAAAUCAGUGUUGAAAGUAUGCACCAUUCACAACAUUAAGCAUAUACACUAACAUCAAGAAAUAAUCUUACGUGCUUCGAAAGACUUGGAGGUAAUAUAUCUGGAAGAGCUUGUAGGAAUCCUAAGUGUUCAUGGGCAAGUGUUGUUGUAUGAUGCAUAAAGGCACAAAGGAAUGUUUAUUGCUCUUAAUGAUCAAAAGCCUAAGUCCCUCUUGCAAAAGCUAAUGAAGUGAUAGACAAUCAAAAAGAUGAGUCACAUACUAGUAGUGAAAAAUAAUUGUAAACAUUUAAUUGCUUAAUAGAACAUUUUGCAGUUUCUAUCAGAAAAUUAGACUUAAUACAUUUUGGAGGUGGACCAAUAUAAAACCUAAAGUAUUUAUUGUGUCUCUUUGUUACUUGCACAAUACAUUUUUUAACCAUUUAUAAACCUUUUACCAUUUUUUAUCCAUUUAUAUGAUAUUGAUCAACCAAUAAAAGAUCAUAGUUGCAACCACCACAUUACAUAACUUUAUAAAAAAUUUUAAAAACCAUAAUAUAUGUUUCAAUGCGAAGAAAGAAAUAUUAUGACGAAAUGAAUUUAGAUAAUCCUAAAAGAGUAAUAAAUAGUGUUAUACGUUCGAACUCAAAUUAGCAAUUACAUAAAUUUAGUAUAUUAAUUUCUAUAUAUUUCUAUUUUCUCAAAAAUAAUGUCAAAUAACUAUAAAGAAUAACUUAAAAUUUGUAAUAUAUAUAUAUAUAUAUAUAUUAAGUUUAUUCGAUUAAAAUAUCACUAUUUAUAUAAGUUGAAAAUAACCAUUCAAAUUAAAUAAUAAAAAUAACAAUUUUUUUUAACAUUUUAAACAAUAAUUUUUUAAAUACCUUACUAUCUUUAAAAUAUUUGUAUGCAACAUCUUUAUUUUAUUGGUUUAUUUUUUAUUGAACAUGACUAUUAUAUUUGAAUGUUACCAGAUUAUUUUAGUUAGAAAAUAACUUUUAGGAGGAUUUUUAUGUAAGAAAUUAUGUAAAUUAAUUUCUAUAAAGUGAUUCACAUGACUUAGAGUUUGAGUUUUGGACCCGAAUAUGAUUUAAUAAUAAUAAUAGAAUUAAAAGGUCUGUUGGUUAAUAUGAGAAUAAAUAUCUGAUGAUACCUAAUGAAAAACCUACAGAGAUUGGGAAUUAAGGUCAAUAAGGUUUUGUCUCUGCAAAUAAUAGUAGUCUCACUGUUAACCAUCACGAAAGUGUGUGACAAAAACGGAAUUGCUAAGUGUACCGCCCAGGUAGUCGGAAGUGAUGACGUGACAGCAAGCGAUAAUAUAGGCGUGUUGAACGGAACACCUGGCUGACAGAAGGGGAGGAAGUCGGGGAGCUCGUGUAGUCGCCAAUCGUUAAGUUGGCGUGCUCCGAUCUCUAGCAUAUCUAAACCGGCGGUCACCAGGUUUGUGUCGUAGUCGCCGGAUGCGAACCCAGGCGACCAAGUAAUCAGAGAUCGCCGAGAGGAGGACAUCGCCGAAAGAUCAGGAAAGCUGGUUCAAGGCUUUCAAAGGGGACGAGUGCGAAGGAUGAAAUUAUCAGAUGAUUAUUCCCUAGCUAGCCAGAGGUUGAGGUCAGGGAACAGCUUACCAGGACAUGCACGGUGAAGCAAGUGAAGCAGAUCAUGAUGGCGGUCGGCGAGACCACAGGGAAGGUGUGCAUGGUGACACCCCGUACUCGCCACACAGAAGAGAUCGCGCUCCAAAGGCAGUAUACACCGAGUUACUCCUUGCAUGGGUAAAUUUAAGUCGAAACAAGCCUGAAGAGUAAGAAGUGNNNNNNNNNNNNNNNNNNNNNNNNNNNNNNNNNNNNNNNNNNNNNNNNNNNNNNNNNNNNNNNNNNNNNNNNNNNNNNNNNNNNNNNNNNNNNNNNNNNNNNNNNNNNNNNNNNNNNNNNNNNCUGAGGUACGCGCGUUUAGAACACUUCUUUACGCUUGGAGAAUACUUGAGUGACUGAGAGAGUUUUUGCACGAUUCCUUGAGUUCUUAGUUUUCUCUCUUAGAGUUUUGGUGGUUCCGUCACUGACUUGAGCGUCGGAGCGCGAUCGGCCGCAGCGGCGCCACUCUGUCUUUUGCAUAUUCUUGAGGUGAAUCGAGGUGUGAAGGACGGAAGCUAGCAUGGUGCAAAGCCGAUCCAGAGGAAGAAUACCUUUGACGAGGCGAGGCUCUUGCGUUCUGGUCAACCGGCAGGAUCAUCAGGCGCCCACCGUGGGGUCGUGUAAAACCUGUCCCCAUCCACAGCGUGAGUUCUUGAAGUUUCUGUAGUUUCUGUGUGGUUGUGUGCUGGUGCAACCAUUUUCCACCGUUCAUUCAAGCUUUUGUUCGGUGAUUUCAAGUUUUCCACCGUUCGUUCGAGCUUUGUUCGGUGAAUUCGAGUUUUUUGCCGUUCGUUUGGGUUUUAAUCGGUAGUUUGAAGUUUUCCACCGUUCGUUCGAGCUUUCGAUCGGUUUUCUUGAAGUUUCUUGCUGUUUGCGCGGUUUUCAAUCGGUUGUUCGGAGCUUUUUCCGUUCGUUCGCGUUUCUGGUUGGUGAAUCGGGAGUUUUGCUGGAGGAGCGGUGGGUUCGUGGUGAAGUUGCAAGUUUCUGUGAAGGUUUCGACGUCCGAAUCUAUCGGCGUGCUGUUGUGGUUGCGUGUUUGGAAGUUCUUGGGAGUUUGGGAGUUUCUGACCAAUUGAUUGCUGGAUUGAUCGUUUGCUGGAGAAGGUUUUGUUCGUUGGAGUUUGGUUUGCUGAGUUUUCAUGAGAAAGAUGAGAAACAACCGUUCAAGUCCCGUUGUGCCAGUUGCUACAGAAGGCGCCAUGACCAUGGCGCAGAUGAUGGAGAUCAUGCGUGCGCUGCAGGCGAAUGUGGAGGCCUCGCGCAUAGAGCAAGGAAGAUGCAUGAGGACCUGGUCGCCUCUCAGGCCAGGAAUGAAGAGCUCAGCAAAGUGACUGAGGAGUUGCGUCAAGCUCUUCAGGAGCAGAGAGGACGCCCAGUCGCUGAAGAGGUCGCACCGUCGUCGCCACCUCGCGUUUUCCCUAUGCCGUUUGCUCAGGCGAUGACAGACACGCCUAUCCCUGCGAGCGUAGUACCUGUGAAAGCUUCUUUCACCGGCGUGGAGGACCCUGAGGCACACCUCACCACGUUCCACACGCAGAUGAUGCUGUCAGGAGGCUCGGAUGUUGUAUAUUGCAAGAUGUUUGUGAGCACGCUCCAGGGAACAGCGCUGGAAUGGUUUGUGAGCUUGCCUAUGUGUCACAUAACCAAUUUCCAGCAGUUUCCGAAGCUUUUCGUCGAGCAGUACAUUGUGAACAAGGCGCCACCUAGGGUGUCUUAUGACCUGUUCGACAUAAGGCAGUACCAGGGAGAGUCCCUCAGGGAGAGUCCCUCAGGGAGAGUCCCUCAGGGACUACUUGAAUAGCUUUGGAGCGCAGAUGGUCCGCUCGCCAGCCAAAGACGAGGAGAUGCUGGUAUACGCCUUCAAAAAGGGCGUCCUGCCGGGACCUUUCUGUGAGGCGCUGAUUAGGACUCACCCCGCCACGUUUGCUGAGGUUAGGCGACUUGCGGUGGCCCACAUCGCCGAUGAGAGUGAAGUCGCCGAGAAGAGAGGGAGCGUGGCCCCUGCUAGGCCACGUGCCCAGACUAGAAUCCAGCCGCAGAGGGUGCUGGAGACGAUGGCGGCCAAGAAGGAUCAAAGGACUCGCCAUCCUUAUCAUCCGAAGGGGAACAAGGGAAGGGGCCCAGGACGCCCCAUGGAGUACAAUCGCCCACCAAAGCACAAGUUUGUCAUGGGGUUGGCGGAUCUGAUCGCCAUUCCCAACAUAGUAGCCAGGCUUAAGGCACCUGAGAAAGUGGGCGACAAGGUGUUAGGACCAAAACCAGACGCCUGGUGUGAGUUCCACCAGAGUUUUGGUCACACCGUUGAUUCGUGUUUGGCACUGGGGUACCAGCUCGACGACCUGGUCAAGAGCGGUUUCUUGAAUGAUUACCUGCUGGACAGGAGGACGGGGGCGCGUCGAGCUCCCAGCCGGCGGGUGGUGAGGCUCAGCAGCAUGAGAUGUCCACUCAUGGCGAGAUCCACACCAUCGCUGGAGGUUUCUUGGGUGGUGGAUGCACUGCAUCACAGAGGAAGAAAUAUGCAAGGUCUGUGAUGGCGGUGGACAUGUUCGAGGACCACUCACCAGAUGUGGACAUCACGUUCACAAAAGAAGACCUCAGGGACGUUGUGCCUCACGACAACGAUCCCAUAGUUAUCUCGCUCGUCACAUCGGGAAGGAAGGUCCAUCGGGUACUGGUGGACCAAGGAAGCUCGGCAGAUGUAAUGUUCUGGCCGACUUUCACACAACUGCAACUGCCCCUUGACCAGCUGAGACCCUAUGGAGGGUGCUUGUAUGGGUUUGCUGGCGAUCAGGUGGAGGUCAGGGGGUACAUCGAGCUAAGAACGACGUUCACGAAUGAGGUGGCCUCGAGGACGGAGAAAAUCAAGUACCUCGUUGUGAACGCCCCCUCAGCAUAUAACAUUCUGUUGGGGAGACCAACCCUCAACAGAAUAGGAGUUGUGCCCUCAACCAGGCACAUGAAGGUUAAGUUACCAUCGAUGGAGGGGGUGGUGAUCACCAUCAAAUCUGACCAGAAGGAAGCGAAGAAAUGCUAUGAGAAUAGCCUCAAGAAUAAGAGGUCAGUAAGUUACAUNNNNNNNNNNNNNNNNNNNNNNNNNNNNNNNNNNNNNNNNNNNNNNNNNNNNNNNNNNNNNNNNNNNNNNNNNNNNNNNNNNNNNNNNNNNNNNNNNNNNNNNNNNNNNNNNNNNNNNNNNNNNNNNNNNNNNNNNNNNNAGGCGAGGAACCGCCCAGAGGAAGCGAGGGAAUUGGGAAUCGCCAGGGCGGUCAUCGCCAGGGAAGCCAGACCCAAACCCGUCGAGGAGUGGCUCGAAAGGGAGAUCGGGGGAAAGGUCUUCAAGCUGGGAAGAUCUUUGGAGGCUGAGCUCCAAGACCAGAUCGGCAGGGUGAUAGAACGGCAUCUGGAUGCUUUUGCAUGGUUUGCUUCAGACAUGCCGGGAAUUGACCCCGAUUUCUUGUGUCACCAUUUGGCAAUGGACACACAAGUUAGACCAGUGCGGCAGAGAAGAAGGAAAUUCAACGAGGAGAGGAGGCAGGCGAUCAGGGAUGAAACACAGAAGCUCCUCGCCGCAGGCCUUAUCAGGGAAGUCCAGUACCCUGAGUGGUUGGCCAAUGUUGUACUGGUGAAGAAAAGCAAUAGGAAGUGGUGCAUGUGCGUCGACUUCACUGACCUGAACAAGGCUUGCCCAAAGGAUUUGUACCCUUUGCCAAGCAUAGAUGCCCUGGUCAACAGUGCAGCAGGGUGCAAGUUGCUGAGCUUUCUGGACGCCUUCUCGGGGUAUAAUAAGAUAAAGAUGCAUCCCAUGGAUGAAGAGAAAACUGCCUUCAUGACUGAGAGGUCGUGCUACUGUUACAAGGUGAUGCCCUUUGGGCUGAAGAAUGCGGGGGCCACGUACCAAAGAUUGAUGGAUAAGGUACUUGCACCAAUGCUGGGAAGGAAUGUGCAAGCGUACGUAGAUGAUAUGGUCGUGACCUCGCCAGAAAAGAGCAAGCACGUUACGGAUCUGGAGGAGUUGUUCACCACAAUCGCCAAGUUCAGAUUAAAGCUGACCCCCAAGAAGUGCAUUUUUGGCGUGGAGGCAGGGGAGUUCUUGGGAUUCCUCUUAACUGAAAGAGGAAGAGAGGCAAAUCCUGAUAAGUGUGCUGCCAUAUUGGCGAUGAGGAGCCCGGCUACCGUGAAGGAGGUGCAGCAACUUACAGGUCGGAUGGCCGCCCUGUCUCGUUUCGUAUCGGCUAGCGGAGAGAAAGGCCAUCCGUACUUCCAGUGUUUAAGGCGAAACAAUAAGUUUGUCUGGUCGAAGGAGUGUGAAGGAGCCUUCGUGAAGCUUAAAGAGUACUUAGCGAGCCCGCCGAUUUUGUGUAAACCCUUGGUAGGAACCCCUCUCAGGUUGUAUUUUGCUGUGACUGAGAGGGCGGUGAGUGCGGUGCUCGCCCAAGAUCAAGACCAGGCUCAGAAGCCUAUUUAUUUCGUCAACAAGGUGUUGCAAGGCCCGGAGGUGAGGUAUCAGGCCUUGGAGAAAGCUGCACUGGCUGUAGUAUUUUCGGCGAGGAGGUUGCGCCACUAUUUUCACAGUUUUACAGUGCUGGUGAUGACCGACUUGCCCAUCCAGAAAGUCCUGAAGAAGCCUGAUGUAGCUGGGAGAAUGGUGAAGUGGGCGGUGGAGCUGUCAGAGUUCGACAUCAAGUAUGAGCCCCGAGGUCCGAUCAAGGGGCAGAUUUUCGCCGAUUUUGUGGUCGAGCUCUCGUCAGAAGCAGCACGAGUUGAAGGGGAUGAUUUUCGUUGGGUGCUCUCGGUGGACGGAUCGUCGAACCAGCAGGGUAGCGGUGCUGAAGUCAUUCUAGAAGGGCCCAACGGCGUGCUAAUAGAACAGUCUCUGAGGUUUGCCUUCAAAGCCAGCAACAAUCAAGCAGAGUAUGAGGCGUUGAUCGCCGGAAUCUUGCUGGCCAAGGAGAUGGGAGCUAGGGUGCUGAUGGCUAAGAGUGACUCGUUAUUAGUCACGGGACAAGUAACAGGCGAGUUCCAGGCCAAGGAUCCACAAAUGGCGGCUUACUUAGAGUAUGUGCAGGAGUUGAAGAGUUCCUUUGUCUCGUUUGAAGUGGUGCAUGUGCCCAGAGAGCAGAAUGCCCGAGCAGACUUGCUAGCUAAGCUCGCCAGUUCGGGCAAGGGGGGUAGGCAGAGGACAGCGAUCCAAGAAACUCUGAAGACGCCUAGAGCAUUUGUGGCAGACCACCUGGUUCUUCAGAUAAGCAAGUCGACGGAGAAAGCGGCGAGGAGUCACAGGUCCUUGACUCAGGAGACCUUGAGGUCGCCGAGAAUAAGUGCAUGUCGGGGGGAGAGGGUGAACAUGACGCAGGUCUGUGCCACGCAUGAGCCAGACACAUGGAUAACCCAGUACCAGNNNNNNNNNNNNNNNNNNNNNNNNNNNNNNNNNNNNNNNNNNNNNNNNNNNNNNNNNNNNNNNNNNNNNNNNNNNNNNNNNNNNNNNNNNNNNNNNNNNNNNNNNNNNNNNNNNNNNNNNNNNNNNNNNNNNNNNNNNNNNNNNNNNNNNNNNNNNNNNNNNNNNNNNNNNNNNNNNNNNNNNNNNNNNNNNNNNNNNNNNNNNNNNNNNNNNNNNNNNNNNNNNNNNNNNNNNNNNNNNNNNNNNNNNNNNNNNNNNNNNNNNNNNNNNNNNNNNNNNNNNNNNNNNNNNNNNNNNNNNNNNNNNNNNNNNNNNNNNNNNNNNNNNNNNNNNNNNNNNNNNNNNNNNNNNNNNNNNNNNNNNNNNNNNNNNNNNNNNNNNNNNNNNNNNNNNNNNNNNNNNNNNNNNNNNNNNNNNNNNNNNNNNNNNNNNNNNNNNNNNNNNNNNNNNNNNNNNNNNNNNNNNNNNNNNNNNNNNNNNNNNNNNNNNNNNNNNNNNNNNNNNNNNNNNNNNNNNNNNNNNNNNNNNNNNNNNNNNNNNNNNNNNNNNNNNNNNNNNNNNNNNNNNNNNNNNNNNNNNNNNNNNNNNNNNNNNNNNNAGCUGUGCGAAGAGGUGGGAAUUCAGCAGGUGUUUGCAUCCGUUGAGCACCCUCAGACAAAUGGCCAAGUAGAGUCCGCCAAUCGGGUGUUACUAAGAGGCUUGAAGAGAAGGCUAGAGAAAGCCAAGGGAUCGUGGGCUGAGGAGGUACCCUGCAUAGUUUGGGCGUACCACACCACCGAGCAGUCAGGAACCCACGAGACCCCGUUUAGCUUGGUCUAUGGAUGUGAUGCAAUGAUUCCAGUGGAAAUCCAGGAGAGCUCACCGAGAUUCCAGAACUUUGUAGCGGAAGACUCGAAUGAAGAAAGAAGGUUGAAUCUGGAUUUGUUGGAUGAGGUCAGGGAGGAGGCGAGAGUAAAAGCCGAGGCAGUAAAAAGGAGGAUUGAACGAAGGUAUAACUCGAAGGUGAUGCCAAGGCAGUUUAGAGAGGGCGACCUGGUGAUGAGGAAGGUCCACCAGUACGAGAUGGAAAACAAGUUAUCGCCUAAGUGGACAGGACCGUUCAGAAUAACCGAGGCGCUCGGGAACGACGCCUACUGCUUAGAGACAUUGGAAGGAGGGGCGAUUCCUCACACUUGGAACGCCACACACCUCAAGUUAUAUUACAGUUAAAGCUUUGUAAGUAAAAACGAACAUGAAAAGAUUUGCAAGCUUUCUGUUAAAACAGUUUGAAGGGGGCACUCUUUUUUCCCUAAGGAGGGUUUUUAAUGAGGCCACCCAAUAAAGAAUAGUUUUCAAAGUUUAAAGUUUCUAAGGUUGCAUGCUUGUUGUUUCGAAAGUUUUAGAAAAAGACCUUAUCACUCGUACGUGAUUCAAGGCAAGUUUAAAGUUAUGCUGCAUGCUUUCUAAAAAAAAGUUUUAAAGUCCCCAUCGCUUUUCGGCGAUUGGCGGCAUCAGUUAAAGUUUUAAAGUCCUCAUCGUCUUUCGGCGAUCGGAGGCACCAACAAUGACUAAAGACCUCAGCGCUCUCGUGCGUUUGGAGGCGAGAAAAGAAAAGACCUCCUCGCCCUCGAGCGAGUGCAAGCGAGAAAGAGUAAAGACCUCAUCGCCCUCAAGCGAGUGCAGGCGAGAAAGAGAAAAAGUCCUCAGUGCAUCCAGGGGGGAGGAGAUGAUGUGAAUGUGACAACAAGAAUACAUGAUUCUUUGACAUUCUUAGGAGCAACUUGAGCUGGUCAUAAAUGGCACUUUACUUAGAAUUGGAUCAAUGUUCUAAUUCAAGAACUCACCAAGACUUUGCACCAACCAAAACUCAUAUGGAAGUCCAUAUAUUGUCAAAUGAAAUCAAACACAAGGAAAGUAGAACAAGAAAUGAAAAAUGGACAGAAUUGAAAAGCUAAGCUACUGAACCGAAUAGAAACAAAGAACAAAGCUGGAAAAACAGAAUUAAACGGUGCAAAUGAAAGGAAAGACUAGGAAAUUAAAAACUACCGAAUGAAAAUUGAAGAAAAGGAAGAAGGACACUUAUAGGAAGAUGCUUGCUGGAUUUUGAGAAUUGGAAGAAGCCAUUCACGCCACUUGGAACCUUGAUCCAAGAUAAGUGAUGGAGUGCCGCCACUUGAAGCUCACCAUUGCUCACAAGAUAAGGCAAAGGAAGAAGAAGACCCAAGACUCACAAUUUCUCUCCAAAUUUGAGUAUAGUCUCUCUACUAUAAAAUUCCAAUCUGAAUUGUGAAGGACCUAAGCCCUCCUUUUAUAGGAGUAAGGGCUGGUCAUUUACAUAGCUUAUUCCCUAAGCUACCCAAAAAGCUCCUAAGAUCACACCCCCCUUACUAAGCUCACUCCCCNNNNNNNNNNNNNNNNNNNNNNNNNNNNNNNNNNNNNNNNNNNNNNNNNNNNNNNNNNNNNNNNNNNNNNNNNNNNNNNNNNNNNNNNNNNNNNNNNNNNNNNNNNNNNNNNNNNNNNNNNNNNNNNNNNNNNNNNNAUAUGAAGCCUAUUAUUUGAGAGUUUGUAGACUUCUUUAUCUUUAGGCUUGAUCUUCUCUUUGACUUCUUGUAAUUUGUGAGAAGACUAGAAGGAAGAACUUCAAAUGUGUAGGUGAAAAUCCUCUUCCUUCAUUAAUAAAAUCCUCUCCUAGUGGAUAUCCAUCAUACUCCCCGAGUUGGAGAGAAUUCGUCCACGAAUUCAGUACUCCUGCAUAAAACAAAGUCAGUUUGCUAUUAUAUAAGAGAAGACAAGAAGAAAUGGGCAAACAUGACUUAUCACUUUGAAAUGUUGGGAGUUCAGAAAAAGAUGGUCUAUACACAGACCAUGUUGGAAAAGAUUGUUUAGGAAUGAUAUUAUUUGGUAAAAUAGGAGAUAUGAAAAAAUCAUCCUUAACAUUCUUUAUCCAAUAUGGUGUGGAAGUAGGAACCUUAGGUAAUGAAAAUGACAAAGAAGAAGAAGACCUUGUAGGCGUAGCACGAGUCAACAAAAGUGAUUUAGUUGAGAAGGUAUUAAGACCCGGGUUAUCAUGUACUUCAAUUUCCUUUUCAUUUUCUUUUUGAGUUUCUUUGGGAUUGGUCCUAUAUGCUAGACGAUGUGGUAAAGAAACCCUGGGCAUUAAGUCUAUUUGGUGUUCAAUCCCUUUUAGAGGUGGUAAUCCUUUAGGAGGAUCUUGAAUCACAUCUUCAUAGUCCUUUACCAAAUUGUCCAAACAUGUGGGACUAUCCUUAGCCGACUCACAGUCAAUAGUCCUAGGAAUAGCUAAAAAAAUAGGCUUUUGAGUAACUAUUACCCUUUUAACUUGUUGUGUGGACAUGAGAAGGCUUCUCUUGGAACUUUUUAUAUCAUUUUCUUUCUCUCUUUUUUCUCUCAUUUUAACUUGGUCCUCAUGUACUUCCUUUGGAGAGAGAGAUUUAAGAGUGACUUUGUGCCCAUGGAAGUGAAAAGAAAUUUUGUUGGUAAAGCCAUCAUGAAAAACUUUUCUAUCAAAUUGACAUGGCCUACCUAAAAGAAUAUGUGUGGCUUCCAUUGGGACAACAUCACACAAGACCUCAUCUUUAUAUUUACCAAUAGAAAAUGUAAUGAGGACUUGCUUGUUAACAACAAUCUCACCUACCUCACUUAACCAUUGUAAUUUGUAGGGCUUGGCAUGAGAGAUGGUAGGUAAUCCAAGUUUGUCUACCACUCUUGUGCUUGCCACAUUUGCACAACUCCCCCCAUCCACAAUCAAAGAGCAUACUCUAUCAUGAAUAAGACACCUUGAAUGAAAAAUAUUUUCUCUUUGAGUUUCAUCAAAAGGUUUUAACACUUGUCCAAGCAUGCGUCUUAUUACUAAUAGGUCACCCUCAUGUGGGCUUUCACUUUCACUCUCACUUGGGGAUCUAGAAGGUGAGGAAUGUCUAGAAGAUUCAGACCCAUGCUCACUACUAUCUACCCCAUCAUGCAUAUACAUAGCUCGUUUAGAAGGGCAAUUAGAAGCAAUAUGUCCAUAGCUUAAGCAUUUAAAACACUUCUUACUAGACGAAUUAUGUGGUGAUUUAGGCCGAGAAUUAGAAGUGGAAGGCUUAGACUCUCUAGGUUUGAAAGUAGAGUCCUUUGAAGGGAUAUUUGAAAAAGAGUUAUUUUUAUUUUUCCAAGAAGAGUGGUAGUAGUUAUCCUUAGAAGAAUUUUUGAAAGCAUUUUUCCUUGCAAGUUGAUUUUCAAUUUUGCUAGCAAGGUGCACCACAUUUUCCAAAGAAGAAUAUUCUUGUAACUCUACCACAUCUUGAAUGUCCCUUCGAAGGCCACUCACAAACCUAGCUAUCUUAGCUUCCUCACUCUCAUCCAUAUUAACUCGAAUUAAAAGCGUGUCUAGUUGUUUAAAGUAAUCAUCCACACUUAGCGCGCCUUGAUGAAACCGUCUGGCAGAGAUCUUUGUCUAGCUCGCCCAUGGUGUCUGGACUUCUGGGCCUCCUAAAGCUUUCUUUGGCGUCUUUGUUCCCCUUGUGUACCUAGUACAAGGGGAAGCCGUCGAGCAGGGAGGGAUCUUGGUCGUUGGCACACACCUUCACGAAUUUUCCUUUCCAAUCUUUGUAAGAUUGCUGGAAGAUUGAGAGGAUUGACCUCCCAGCAAUCCCAUUCAGGUUAAUCCAGAGGCGGUCUCCUGGAUUCUUAGCUUCGAACAGGAAGACGAAAACGUCAACUGAAGCUGGUAGUCCCAAGUGUGCGCACAUAAUUUGGAACGCCCUUACGAACGCCCAGCUGUUGGGAUGAAGCUGGACGGGGGCGAUAUCGAGCUCGGUUAACAGCUCUCUCUCGAAGCGAGUGAAGGGAAGUCUGAGCUUCACCUUCUUGAAGAACGUCGCGUAGAUGAAGCAGAACAGCUCGCCGUUGUUCACUUUAUCGUCCGCGCAGAUCGGCUCACCCGGGAAGCAGGGCAGCACGGCCAUUUUGCUGUCAUGCUCCUUAUGGAAUGUGAGCUCGGAUUGGUCGCCUUUCCUUAGUCGGUGCACGCUCAACUCCGUGUUUAUUGAAGAAGUUUCUUUCAACAAAGCUGAGGUGGCCCAAGGGUAGAGUUCCUUGUAGUCUUUUGGAGGUAGGGAAGCGCCUCCGGCGACUGGCGGAGUUGCCUGAGCGGGAUUGGCGUGAGAAGUUGCAGGCCUCUCAGCCUGGGAAGAAGGAGCGCCAGAUGCUCGUGGUGGGUUACGCGCUGGUGGAGGAUUUGCCCCAGGAGCAACCCUACGCGCUUGGGGUGGAGGGUUUCGCGACGAAGAAGGAGNNNNNNNNNNNNNNNNNNNNNNNNNNNNNNNNNNNNNNNNNNNNNNNNNNNNNNNNNNNNNNNNNNNNNNNNNNNNNNNNNNNNNNNNNNNNNNNNNNNNCAAAAACUGCAAAGGAAAAUGAAAGGGAUGAACAAAGGUUACAGAGAACGACUCGAUUGAGGACGAAGAAAGGAGAACGAACGAACAGGAGUUCGUUGGGACGAACGUAAUGGAAGACGAAGCCCUAAGUUACGAGAGGGGAGAAAAGGAGAAAACAACCCACAACGUAUGCACUAGACAGAUAAUGGAUGAUGCGAAUCGGUUAAAAUGCAGCAAACAUCAACAGAAGAAGUAAAAGGGGUACCUUUUGAUGAUCGGUUGAGCGUUGAAGAGAGUUGGAGAUUGAGAGAGUUGAGGAGCGUCGUGGGAUGCAGAUAAAAUACUUAGAACUUUUGAGAAUGCAGAAAGAUGAUGGAACAGUAGGAAGUGCAAAGGGUUUUAGGGGUUUUUCGAACGUUUUCGGAAGCGCAAACGACAGCUGAAGAUGACCGUUGAUGAAGCCACGUGUCGAGCGAUUGGAAAAAGGGGUUUGGUGGAGCGUCAGAAAAGCAGAGGGUACGAACGUUUGGAAUUCCGUGCCAGCGCCACGUAGAUCGACAGUGAUGUGACCUCUUAGUCUUUUCGCUGGACAAGUCUUCGCUUAAGACUAGGGGGAUUGUGUACCGCCCAGGUAGUCGGAAGUGAUGACGUGGCAGCAAGCGAUAAUAUAGGCGUGUUGAACGGAACACCUGGCUGACAGAAGGGGAGGAAGUCGGGGAGCUCGUGUAGUCGCCAAUCGUUAAGUUGGCGUGCUCCGAUCUCUAGCAUAUCUAAACCGGCGGUCACCAGGUUUGUGUCGUAGUCGUCGGAUGCGAACCCAGGCGACCAAGUGAUCAAAGAUCGCCGAGAGGAUGACAUCGCCGAAAGAUCAGGAAAGCUGGUUCAAGGCUUUCAAAGGGGACGAGUGCGAAGGAUGAAAUUAUAAGAUGAUUAUUCCCUAGCUAGCCAGAGGUUGAGGUCAGGGAACAGCUUACCAGGACAUGCACGGUGAAGCAGGUGAAGCAAGUGAAGCAGAUCAUGAUGGCGGCCGGCGAGACCACAGGGAAGGUGUGCAUGGUGACACCCCGUACUCGCCACACAGAAGAGAUCGCGCUCCAAGGCAGCUAUACACCGAGUUACUCCUUGCGUGGGUAAUUUACUCGAACAGCCUGAAGAGUAAGAAGUGACGCUCAAGCAGAGGACGCUCCAGAUGGUGACACGAGUACAGCUGGAUGCGAGCCACGUGUUCAGAUGUGUAACCGUCAGGAGAGAGAAAGUGCACAGGUAUAUAAGAGAUUUUAACGAACUUCUGAGGUACGCGCGUUUAGAACACUUCUUUACGCUUGGAGAAUACUUGAGUGACUGAGAGAGUUUUUGCACGGUUCCUUGAGUUCUUAGUUUUCUCUCUUAGAGUUUUGGUGGUUCCGUCACUGACUUGAGCGUCGGAGCGCGAUCGGCCGCAGCGGUGCCACUCUGUCUUUUGCAGGUUCUUGAGGUGAAUCGAGGUGUGAAGGACGGAAGCUAGCGUGGUGCAAAGCCGAUCCAGAGGAAGAAUACCUUUGACGAGGCGAGGCUCUUGCGUUCUGGUCAACCGGCAGGAUCACUAAGACAUAAAUUGGGACAAAGGAGAUAAAGUAAUUGUUCAAGUAGAUCACUCAUGGAUCAAGGUAAAUGCUUAUUCCUUCCUGAUUGUAUGAAUGUGUGUGAUAAUCAUAAUAUGAAAAGAUCUGUAUGUGAACAUGAAUGUAUGAGUUCAUUAUCAUGUUUUAUUUACAUGUAUUAUCAGAGUCUCGUUGCUCAUUUUUUGUGAUUCUCCAUUAAUGCUUUUCCAAAAUCAAAAGAACCGUAAUUUUAAAAUGUUCAUAAUUUAAGAAUCUUUAUUUAAAAUAAGGGUUUAUAGAUUAAAGUUUUCAUUCCUUUAUAUCCCUAUUGAAUAACCCUAAUUUUAAAAUUAGUGUUUAUGGAUUAAGGUUUCCUUUAACGGAACCCUAAUCUGCACCCAACGUCAUUAACUACGUUAAACCCUAUAAACCUAUUAGUGGGACCGCAAGCCUUUGCCGCUGCCAUCCUGCGUUUUUUCGUCACCACCAUAACUGAUGGAGGAGGGCCAAACUCACAACCCUAUGGAAGACAAGAGCCAAGUCUAGACCGUCUAGACCCAUGUGGGGAGCGUCUAGAGCCAAGUGGGAAGCGUCUAGCACAAGAUGAAGGGCGACUAGAAAGGGAGCGUCUAGGAGGAAGCCUAGACCGUCUAGGACCUAUCACUAGGUCCAUGGCCAAGCAUCUCCACGCACAUUUGGGUCAAGCAACAGAUGGAAGGGAGAAGAACUUGUACAUGCUACAUGGAGGCCCAUUAGGGGUAGCUUAGUAGUUAGUGUAGUGUUAGAAAGCAUAAACUUGUCUCCUUUUGAUUUAACCUAGAUUGCUCACGUUUUCUAGAAGGAUCUCCACUAGGAACGGCCAUGUGCUCCAUGUGCCCAUGUGCCUCACAUUUCCAUUUCAUUUGGCUAGCAUUUCAUCUUAUCUUAGCUUAACAUUUACGGCCUCCUUAGCCUAUAAAAGGAGAAGCCCAUCACUUGUAUUUUCAAGAUUAAUGAGAGUAAUGUUAUGCUGCCAAUUUAGUGCCAUACAUUGCCUUUGCCUAGUUUCUAGGACCUAAUCUUCUCUUCACCAUCUACCAAGGGGGCUGGCCGAACCUCCCUCUUUCCAUACACUUCAUGCACCUUCAAGGUCACCACAACUCCUAGGAGGACCUUGCCCACUUUCACCAUUAGCUUCCACACCAUAUUCACCAACAUCCAAGAAGAGCUCCUUGAGAAUGCCAUCAUUUGGUAUCAUGAGCAAAGGUUCUUCAAAGAUGAGUAUUUCUUGGUCAUUUUGUUUUUGAGUUCUUCUUUAAUCCGUGUUGUUCUUCAUAUUCCAUAUUGUCUUGCUGUUUUUUAAUUUUUGCUCUGAAUUGGUGUGCUGUUUGGAAAUUCCAAUCGGUGCAUCUUGUUCAAUUGUUUUUGAGCAAUCUUUGUGCAAUUUUUGGUAGGAUUCCAUAUACUUGUGUUGUUGUUUUUUAUUUUAGGUAUUUGAGUCCUUAUUGCAAUUUUAUUUGGUUCAUUUUGUGUCCAUUUGAGUCUUUUAAUUUCUGAAUCUAUAUGUGUUUUGUCUAGUCAUGUUCUUCCAAAAUGUCAUCAAAUCAUAGUAGUACUUUGUUUGGCUUAUUUGUUUCUUGAUUUUGGUAUUUUUGCUUGUUUUGAAUCUGCUGUGUUUUUUAUCUUUUGGUGCCUUUUUAUUUUUAGCUUGAGUUCAUAUUUGUGUUUAGAUCUACACAAAUUCCAUUUCACCAAUUCCAUUGUGUUUUUCUUUUGGUAUAUCUUGCUGUUUUUUCCAGAUUUACAGAAUCCCCUGUUUUGCAUAACUCUGUGCUGGCUGUUUUGCUUAAGAAAAUUAUUUUCCCACAUAGGAAAUUUCUGAUCCUCUGGAUUAUGCAAGAUUAAGGUGUUACAGAAAAGACAAAAAAAGAAUCAGUUCAAAAAAACAAAUAGAAAAAAAUAUAAAUAUUUUAAAAACAGUGUGCAAAUCUGGCACUACAACUGGCGUAACUGAACACUGAUUUUAGAAAAAUUAUUAAAAAACAAUGGUUCAUGCGUUUGGAGUGAAACCAACGCCAGAAUUCAGUUAAGAUCUUGAAUUGUUUGCAUAUAAAUUUUCAGAAGCAAAUAUUAAAAGGGCAGCUCAGCAUAAAUCAGGGAAAAUCACGCUCUCUGGCCCACAACAAUUAUUUCAGUGGUGCUGUUUUUGAUUUUGAAAUCAAAUCUAGUGCUAUUCCUAGGAUCCAUUUUGUGUGCCUACCUUUCUUUGAGUACCUUUUAUUUGCUUGUCUAAUAUUUCUUUGGAACUCUUUCUAGUUGUCACAUUUUAAUUCCUUUUGUGUGGUACUGUUUUUCCAAUUAAUUUGUUUCUUGCUUUAAUUCUUUGGCUUCUAAACUUGGUGGUGGAUUGAUUAUCAAUUGGUGCUUAUUUGAGUGGAAAUUGACUUGAGUGAGGUCUAGUCUGCUUGAUAGGUGCUGGAUUGGAGAAUUAAUUCCCUAAUUCCAAGAGGAACAAAGGCAAGGGCAGAAACAAACACCCACCAAAAACACCACAUACAUUGGAAGGCCCAACAAGAGGAGACAACCAAGGAAGUGCCAAUAGAAAAAAAAAUCAACAAAGGGAGUUCACUUAUUUCCUUUGCAACUUAACUUUUGUUAAUUACUUCUUCAUUACGUAAUUAGACGGUGAGUGUGUCUUCAAGGGCUCCAAGUGUCCAAGAAGCCUCACCUAGGGCCGAUUAGUGUAGAACUAUCUAGUUUAGCAAUUGUUAAUUGUUUUAAUUGCAUCUCUUUGCUUUAGAUAGUUACGUUUUUAAUUAUCUUGUAUUGCUUAAAGCUUUGUUAAUUUUUGCUUGGUUAAUUAGUUAGUUUGCAUUGUUUUCUUGCAUUAAAAUUUUGAUUUCUCCAACUUAAUUGUGUUUUAAGUGGUUUACCAAGAGAAAGCUUUGUGUGAAGCAUUAAGGGAUAGUCUUUGGCUAAGGCAAGGCUUGGUAUUUAAGUAGUCCACUGUGACUCACCUCCCUUACCUGGAAGACUACCUUCUUUGACUUCCCUAAAUUUUCUCAAAGUAAAAUACUUCUACACACAAAGCUCUAGUCAUGUCUUCUUCUUCUCAUUCUGCAAAGUCUAUUGAAAGUGAAGUAAAAUCUUUGAAAACUCUUUUGAAAGAAGUUUCACAAGCUGUGCAAAUGAUUUCUUUUAGACAAUUGGAGAAUGAGACUAAAAUCAAUGAGUUGACUAAAAGCCAAGGAAGAGAAGUCUAAAAAAUAAAAUAAAAAACUCAUACUCAUACAUCCCAUUCUAAAAGUAAUGAGUCUCUAGGGGAGGGAAGCCUUAGAAUCAAUGACUAUUACCAACCACUCCCUAGAAGAAAUAGGCAAAGGGAGCAAGAGGGCCCAAAGGAGGUUAGAGUAGACCUACCUCACUUCCAUGGUAAGGAGAAUGUAGAAAUCUACCUAGAUUGGGAGAUGAAAGUAGAACAACUCUUUGCUUGCCAUAAGGUGAGUGAAGAACGUAAGGUACCCUUAGCCACCCUUAGCUUCCAAGGGAAUGUCGUGUAUUGGUGGACCUUUAUUGAAAGAGAAAGACGUCUUCAUAGGGAACCUCCCAUUGAGUAUUGGAAUGACCUUAGGUGAUGGAAACCGUCCAGCCUCAAAACUUUCGGCCAAGAAGAUAGACGAAGAUCGAGCUUUAAUGAAGAGUUUAUAAAGUCUUUUUCUUCUUCUUAGCCUUGUAAAAAUUGUAUAGAGUAGUUAGGAAGUUUUGGGCCUUGUAUUUUGGGCCAAAGUAGAGAAAGAUGUAAAUAGAAAACAAAGUAAUGUGUAAAAUAGUAAAAGAAGGGUGCAAAUAGAAAUGUAGGCAAGGAAGACAUGAGUCUCCACAUGUCUUCUCCUUAAUGGAGAGGAUUUGCACCAAUAAGGUGGUGACACUUGUCACACUCUCAUUUGAGAGCUUUUGAGAGACUUUAUCCUAUAAAUAGGAGUCUCUUAUACAUGUAUUUCUUCAACUUGGAAUUAGUAAUGAAAUGUUGCCUAAUUUUGGCCAUUCUACUUGUUCUUAAGUUCUCCCUAGGUUAGUCUCCUUCAAGACUUAGCCUAGACUCUUUCCUUGAGUUGGCCUCACCUCUCACUCUCACAAAUUCCUACUCCACUUCAAUCCAUGGAAACUCCUCUUGAGUUUCUUUAAUGCUUCCGCUCAUCAUAUCUCCUUCAUCAUUCAUCCAAAGAAGAAAUUACAAAGAUCAUUACUAGAAGAAGAUCGUUUUUCCAUCAUUAGGGGAGCCCUAAGACGUCGACAUAUACCNNNNNNNNNNNNNNNNNNNNNNNNNNNNNNNNNNNNNNNNNNNNNNNNNNNNNNNNNNNNNNNNNNNNNNNNNNNNNNNNNNNNNNNNNNNNNNNNNNNNUCCAACAAAAAAAUAUGAGUGUAGAGGAGUAUAGGCAGAAAAUGGAGCUCUACAUGAUGAGAGCAUCCAUUAGGGAAGAGGAGGACACCACCAUAGCAAGAUUCCUUAGUGGCCUUUCUCUUGAGAUAAGAGAUAGGGUAGAACUUCUUCCCUACCAAGACUUGAAUGACUUGGUUCAACAUUGCAUUAAAGUUGAACAACAAAUUUUGCGCAAAACUUCAAGUCAAAGGGUGAGUUCCUACUCUAGCUUCUAUCCCAAGAAAGAAUAUAGAAGGGAGGGUAGCACAUCAAGAGAAAAACCAAAAGAAACUACCAAGCCCUUAGCAAAAGAAACCUCCACCCCACCCAUCCGAGCUAGAGAUGUUAAGUGUUUUAAGUGCUAUGGAAGAGGGCAUGUGCAAGCACAAUGCCCAAACCAAAGGACUUUGUUUUUAAAGGGUGUAGAUGAAUACACUAGUGGCGAGGAUGAGCCUAGUGAGAGAGAGGAAGGGGGAGAGGAUGAGAGGGUAGCUCCACUAGAGGGAGAAUUGCUAAUGAUUAGGAGAACCCUCAACAAUCACCCUAGCACAUCCAUAGAAACACAAAGGGAGAACAUAUUUCAUACAAGAUGCAAUGUUUUAGAAAAUAUACGUUCCCUCAUUGUGGAUAGUGGAUCUAGUUGUAAUUGUUGUAGUGCUAGAAUGGUUGAUAAGCUUAAUCUACAAGUAGUUCCUCACCCAAAACCUUACAAAUUACAAUGGAUUAAUGAAAAUGGGGAACUAAGUGUAGAUAAGCAAGUGGAAGUCAAGUUUUCCAUAGGGAACUACAAAGACAAGGUUUUAUGUGAUGUAGUACCAAUGGAAGCUUGCCACAUCUUAUUAGGGAGACCAUGGCAAUUUGACAAAAAAACCUUACAUGAUGGUCUCACUAACGAGAUUUCCUUCACCUAUAAGCAUAAGAAGUUUGUACUUAGUCCUUUAUCACAUUCUCAAGUGGUAAAAGACCAAAUACAAAUGAAACAUAAGAGGGAUGAGGAAAAAAAAAAGAGUGCUAGAAAAAGAGAAAAUCCUUAAGGAUAGGAAGGCGUGGGAGAAUAGUGUUCCUUCCCACAAGGUUGCUCAACAAGAAAAGCCUUUUGAAAACGUUUUGGAAAAUUUGCUUCUUGUUGAACAACCAAGCCUAGUCUUUUGUAAAGGAACACUUGCAUGCACUACCACAAGUAAUGAACUCAUGAGUCUACCUCCUCAAGUAGAAAAACUUUUAAGUGAAUUUGAAGAUAUAUUCUCUAAUGAGGGACCCAUUGGACUCCCUCCCAUUAGAGGUAUAUAACAUCAAAUUGACUUCAUUCUGGGGGCAAGCCUACCAAAUAGGCCCGCUUAUAGAACUAACCCCGAGGAAACCAAGGAGAUAGAGUCACAAGUUCAAGACUUGUUGGAGAAGGGUUGGGUUCAAAAGAGCCUAAGCCCUUGUGUUGUACCUGUCUUGUUGGUGCCCAAAAAAGAUGGAAAAUGGCGCAUGUGUUGUGAUUGUAGAGCAAUUAACAACAUCACCAUCAAGUAUAGGCAUCCAAUCCCAAGGCUUGAUGACAUGCUUGAUGAACUACAUGGGUCAACCAUAUUCUCUAAAAUUGACCUUAAAAGUGGGUAUCACCAAAUUAGAAUCAAAGAGGGUGAUGAAUGGAAAACCGCUUUUAAGACCAAGUUUGGAUUAUAUGAGUGGUUGGUGAUGCCCUUUGGGCUCACUAAUGCCCCUAGUACAUUCAUGAGGCUCAUGAAUCAUACCUUGAGAGAUUGUAUAGGUAAAUAUGUAGUAGUUUAUUUUGAUGAUAUCCUAGUGUAUAGCAAGACCCUAGAAGACCAUCUAAGUCACCUUAGGGAAGUUCUUCUAGUGCUUAGGAACAAUAGUCUUUUUGCCAAUAGGGAUAAGUGCACCUUUUGUGUAGAUAGUGUAGUUUUUCUAGGUUUCAUAGUUAACCAAAGGGGGGUGCCUGUUGACCCCGAGAAGAUCAAAGCCAUCCGAGAGUGGCCCACUCCACAAAAUGUAAGUGAUGUAAGGAGUUUUCAUGGGUUAGCUAGCUUCUAUAGAAGGUUUGUGCCUAAUUUUUCAAACCUAGCUUCUCCUUUGAAUGAACUUGUAAAAAAAGAUGUUGCAUUUUGUUGGAAUGAUAAGCAUGAGCAAGCCUUCCAAAGGCUAAAGGCUCAAUUCACCAAUGCACCAAUUCUAGCUCUUCCAAAUUUUUCCAAAACUUUUGAGAUAGAAUGUGAUGCAUCGGGAGUAGGCAUAAGAGAUAUAUUGUUGCAAGGUGGACACCCCAUUGCAUAUUUUAGUGAAAAACUUCAUGGUGCCACCCUCAACUACCCCACCUAUGACAAAGAGCUCUAUGCUCUUGUGCGAGCCCUAAAGACUUGGGAACACUAUCUUGUGUCCAAAGAAUUUGUCAUCCAUAGUGAUCACGAGUCUUUAAAAUAUUUAAAGGGCCAACACAAGCUCAACAAGAGACAUGCUAAAUGGAUGGAAUUUCUUGAACAAUUUCCUUAUGUAAUCAAAUACAAGAAAGGAAGCACCAAUAUAGUGGCCGAUGCUCUUUCAAGGCGGCAUACACUCUUUUCAAAAUUGGGUGCCCAAAUUCUUGGAUUUGAUCACAUAAGAGAGCUUUACCAAGAGGAUCAAGAACUUUCAUCCAUCUAUGCCCAAUGUCAACAUAGGGCACAAGGAGGUUACUAUGUGGCCGAGGGAUAUCUCUUUAAGGAAGGAAAACUUUGCAUUCCCCAAGGCACACAUAGGAAACUCCUUGUCAAGGAAUCACAUGAGGGGGGACUCGUGGGCCAUUUCGGAGUUGAUAAGACUCUAGACCUUUUGAAAGAAAAUUUUUGUUGGCCACACAUGAGAAAAGAGGUCCAAAGACAUUGUUCUAGAUGCAUAGCAUGUUUAAAAGCAAAGUCUAGAACAAUGCCUCAUGGACUCUACACCCCCUUGCCGAUUGCAAAUGCUCCUUGGGAAGACAUUAGCAUGGACUUCAUUUUAGGACUCCCUAGGAUUGCAAGAGGCCAUGACUCUAUCUUUGUGGUAGUGGACCGUUUUAGCAAAAUGUCCCAUUUUAUUCCUUGCCAGAAGGUAGAUGAUGCUCAAAAUAUUUCUAGACUCUUCUUUAGAGAAGUGGUGAGACUUCAUGGUCUACCUAGAAGUAUAGUAUCCGAUAGAGAUCCCAAGUUCAUAAGCCACUUUUGGAAAACUCUUUGGGGCAAACUUGGAACAAGACUACAAUUUUCAACUUCUUGUCAUCCUCAAACGGAUGGCCAAACCGAAGUAGUCAAUAGAUCUCUUGGGACUAGGCUUAGGGCCAUCGUGAAGGGAAACCAUAAAUCUUGGGAUGAGUAUCUUCCCCACAUUGAGUUUGCUUACAAUCGAGAAGUCCACAAGACUACUAAUGCUUCUCCUUUUGAAGUAGUAUAUGGAUUUAAUCCUCUCACACCUAUGGAUUUGUUACCUCUUCCUAAUCCACAAGAAUUUGUGCAUAAGGAAGGAGUAAUCAAAGCCGAUUUUGUGAAGAAAAUGCAUGAAAAGAUUAAACUCCAAAUACAACAACAAAAUGAAAAGUACACAAAAUACAACAAUAAAGGGAAGAAAGAAAUAAUUUUUGAGGAAGGAGACUUAGUUUGGCUUCACCUUCGCAAAGACUGAUUUCCAACUCAAAGGAAGUCCAAACUAAGUCCCCGAGGUGAUGGACCCUUUCAAAUCCUCAAGAGAGUCAAUAACAAUGCAUACAAAUUGGACUUACCUCUUGAAUAUGGAGUACAUGAUACUUUUAAUGUAAUUGAUCUUUCUCCAUUUGUAGGUACCAAUGACGACGAGGACGAACUGGAUUUGAGGACAAAUCCUUUCCAAGGGGGAGGGGAUGAUGGAGGAGGGCUAAGCUCACCACCCUAUGGAAGACAAGAGCCAAGUCUAGACCGUCUAGACCCAUGUGGGGAGCGUCUAGAGCCAAGUGGGAAGCGUCUAGCACAAGAUGAAGGGCGACUAGAAAGGGAGCGUCUAGGAGGAAGCCUAGGUCGUCUAGGACCUAUCACUAGGUCCAUGGCCAAGCAUCUCCACGCACAUUUGGGUCAAGCAACGGAUGGAAGGGAGAAGAACUUGUACAUGCUACAUGGAGGCCCAUUAGGGGUAGCUUAGUAGUUAGUGUAGUGUUAGAAAGCAUAAACUUGUCUCCUUUUGAUUUAACCUAGAUUGCUCACGUUUUCUAAAAGGAUCUCCACUAGGAACGACCAUGUGCUCCAUGUGCCCAUGUGCCUCACAUUUCCAUUUCAUUUGGCUAGCAUUUCAUCUUAUCUUAGCUUAACAUUUACGGCCUCCUUAGCCUAUAAAAGGAGAAGCCCAUCACUUGUAUUUUCAAGAUUAAUGAGAGUAAUGUUAUACUGCCAAUUUAGUGUCAUACAUUGCCUUUGCCUAGUUUCUAGGACCUAAUCUUCUCUUCACCAUCUACCAAGGGGGCUGGCCGAACCUCCCUCUUUCCAUACACUUCAUGCACCUUCAAGGUCACCACAACUCCUAGGAGGACCUUGCCCACUUUCACCAUUAGCUUCCGCACCAUAUUCACCAACAUCCAAGAAGAGCUCCUUGAGAAUGCCAUCAA
rnacentral:lncRNA from 1 species